UUCCUUCCCCAACCCAACCCCCGGACCAGAGCAAGAGAGAGAUUUCCCCCGAUUCGAUCCGAUCAGAUCCGAGAUCUCCAUCCCCGAUGGCGUCCCGGAGCUGCACCUUCCUGGAGAUCCUGCUCGCCAUCAUCCUGCCGCCGCUCGGUGUCUUCCUCCACUACGGCUGCUGCAGCGUAAGCAAUCCACCCCCUCUUCCCCUCCCCCCUGCUACCCUCCUCGACUGGCUGGAUCCACGCGACCCGGUAGGUUCCCAAACGCGAACUUUGCGGUCGGGCGGGCUUGCGCGCUGGCAGCCGCCGCCCGAGUAGCAGGCGAGUCAGGCGACCGUCCGACCGGUGGUUCGAGACAUAUUUGGGCGGCGGUUCCCCUUGGCUGCGAUCGCGAGGUCCCCUGAACUCGCGCGAUUUCCUGUCGGUGACGCGUAGCAUAGCAUUGCUCUAGCUUGGGCCUGCGGUUUCCUCGGUGUUUUAGACCUGCAAAUGACCUGCAGGUGACGCCUAGUAUUGCAGGUAUUAACAUACUACUGUAUGGUUCAGGGCUGGUAUGUUUUACUUAUGCUCUAGCUAUGGAAUUAUGCAGGCCCUGCUGGUUGCUGCCAUGCCAAUGAGAGCAGAUUGAAUCUGUUUUACACGUUUUUUGAGUAGCUGCGUUCAAGAAGGCAUUCAGUCCAUUUGUGGGUUCAGUCGUCGUCUAAGUAGGAGGAUAAUAUGUACGGUGCAUGUCGCUAAUGUCUGAAUUUUGUUUAGAGAAAAGGCCUCUCCUCUCAGUCCCGCUUUAUAUAGAAAGCAAAACCACGCCAUCUGCUGGGGGCCUGGGAUUACCCUCUCUCCGUUCUUACUACAUUGUAUUGCGCUUCAAGUGGUUAUAUUCGACCCCAUUGUUUAUUUAUACUACCCCCUCCAUUCCUAAAUAUAAGUCUUUUUAGAGAUUUCACUAUGGACUACAUACGGAUGUAUAUAGACGUGGUUUAGAGUGUAGAUUCACUCAUUUUGCUCCGUAUGUAGUCCAUAUUGAAAUCUCUAAAAAGACUUAUAUGUAGGAACGGAGGGAGUAGAAGUUAUGUGCAUAGCCGGCACGGUAAAUUUGUCUAAGCACUACAAUCUGUUCCUCGUAAGAAGAGCAAGUUGCUCCGAUGAUUCACUGGAUUAAUCUUGGAUCCUGGAAUGGAUAGGUGAUGCGCAAGCACGUUCUGUGUGGCGCAGAAGGAGCAGUUCAGUGCUAUUGUUUUUUCUCGAUCCUGAUAGCAUACUAACAGUAUUGGGUCAUCCUUUCUGUCUUGAACAGAUGGAGUUCUGCAUCUGCCUGCUGCUCACCAUCCUGGGCUACAUCCCCGGCAUCAUCUACGCGGUCUACGUGCUUGUCGCGCUCGGCUCGGAGGAGCGGGAUCGGGACUACGACACCCUUGCUUAAUAAUCCUGCAGCAACUCGUAUUGUGUGAUGAACCUCUCGCCUGGUAGUUGCGAAUCGACGUCGUGUGUUCCCAUCUGGACUGUGUAGCGUGCCUUCUUUCUGUCAGCCUGUAAAUGCUUAAACCAUCCUCCCCUUCGCUUUCGCCGUCCUGUAAUUCUGAUACGACCGAAUAUAUUUCAGCAGCUCCGAAGAUUUAUGCCAGUGGUUUACGUGAGCAGGGCUAUGAACAGGAGUUACGAUCCUAGGAAUUCCUGCCACUGUUGUUGUGUGGUGAUCUUUGUUCAGUCGGACCUAAUUUUGUGUGCUAUACUUCAUUGCUGAUAGGAACCACACCACCCAUGUCAACUGUGUUUCUUUUUCCUUUCUUUUGAUUGAUAGAGCAAAUGUGUUGUUUUCAAAAAGCUAGGUCAGUUUUACAUACAUAUGUCGCCAGAGAUGAAGCUGUAGAAGUUUUAGAACCGUCACUGUCGUUUUUAUGUUUGAGAGUUUUGCAGAGUUUUCUAGAAAGGACCAUUCCCAAACUAACUCAAGUGGGCAACUGACACUGCAUCAGCAAGAUUAGAUGAGUGGUUGGAGCGGGAACCGACGAGGUUUCUCAAGCAAGCGGUAGCCCUUUGUGCCGUUUGUCGAGGUAGCCGAGAGCGUGUGUGGUGGAGCCGUGGUCGAGAUAGCCGUGUGAAGUAUGUUGCGAUCGAUGUCGAGUCGGGGUGGGGGUGGCCGGUGUUGAGGAAGUCUCAGUGGAGCCGCGGGCGCAAGGAAGCGCCGAGUCAGUCAUGGGUGCGAGUAGUGGUGCGCCGAGAAGAAGAUGUCGUUGACGACUCAUCGUGCCGGGGUUGCCAAACCCGGGGACACAUCGUGGACGAAGGCACGCAUCGGUGUUGCCAGCAUCGGGCAUGCGUAGACGGACGAAGAUGAAGUUGACGAAGCGCCGCACCAGGCUUGCCAGGCCCGUGGACACGUCGUGGACGAAGGCACGCAUCGUUGUUGCCAACACCGGUCAUGUGUAGACUGGGUCCUGCACAAGCUGUACGCCAUGUCGGAGAAGUCGGAGAGGCUAGCAGAGAAGGACUCGACGAUGAUGGCGGCGCCAAUCGGCGCGAGGCCGAUGUCGUGCGCGAUUGUGGGAGUAGAUGAAGUGGUCGGGGUAGAUGACGUCGACGAUGGCGACGCGCUGGUGCUGGAUGAAGACGAAGCAGGUGGACGGGCGACGGUGGCGGCUGCGAGGGUAGCGGCGACGACGACCAAAGAAGAGCGGCGACGGCGACCUGAUGGCAGCGGCGGCGGCUAGGUUAGGAGCGUGACGAAGAUGCUCGAAGUAGGCGAGGAACCCGAGAACGUGACGAAGACUGGCGUGGACGGUGGCGUUCCCGCGCCAAGGGAUGCGGCGUGUCGCAUACCACGGGAAGUCGACGCACGGGGACGGCGGAGUGGACCGCGGGCCGCCGUGCUACGGCCAAAAGGGGGGGGAUGCGGCGGCAGCAGUCUGGUAAGGGCGAUGUCGGGAAGACCUCGGGGCGGCGGCGGGGACCGCGGGUCGUGGCGCUACGGCCUGACAGGGCGAUGCAGCGGCGGAGCCCGGGUCAGUGUAGCCACAGGGACGACCUCGGGAGAUCGCAGAGACCGCGUGCCACGCUCGCUACGACCCGAUGGGGCGACGCAGUGGCAGCACGCAGGUCGAUGCAGCUGCAAGGAGAACCACAGGAUGGCAGCGCUGCAGCCCGAUGCUCGAUCGGUGAAGGACGUGUUGAACUCGGGGACGAUCUUCAUGGGACUUGUGGAGGCGCGCGCAACCGACAGGCCAGGUCGAUCGCGUGGCGUAUAUGAGGCGGAUCACGGCGGCGAGCGGGUGAUCAAGCCGAUCGUGCAGGAGGUAGGGGACGUCGCUUGAAGAAGGUGGGGUGGCGGCGGAGUCCAAAAUGCGGCCGACGAUGACGGACGACGUAGGAUGACGUGCGGAAAAGCGCGUCACCGCCGGCACCCACGAUGCUAAAACAACGCCGGCGCCCGGGCAGCGAGGCUCGAGCGACCAAGUAGCAGCGGCGCCCGAGCUGAGCCAACCGACGAGCUUGACGCAGCCGGGGAUGAGGUCGGCGAGGCAGAUCGCAGGGCCGCCGUGCAUACGCGGCGGAGGCGGGUGGCGUGGAUCGAUGGGUGGGCCGGCGCGAGCGGUGGCUAUGAUGGGUAGCCGUAUAGCGCGAGGCCAUAGGGUCGGGGCGAUGCAGGAGUCCCGGUCGGAGCAUGGCGGAGACGGCCGACGCAGGGCGAUGGGUAGGCCGACGCGCGGAUGGCGGUUGGCCCUGACGGGUCGCCUCGGCGCACAUGACCGCUGGGUCGGAAGAGAGGCCGCGUGGUUGCGCCGGGGUCGAAGUAGAGGCGUGGGGGGAAGGGAGGGUCGACGACGGCGGCGGAUUGUUGGGAAACAUAGUAAUUUCAAAAUUUUCCUACGCACACACAGGAUCAUGGUGAUGCAUAGUAACGAGAGGGGAGAGUGUGUCCACGUACCCUCGUAGACCGAAAGCGGAAGUGUUAGCACAACGCGGUUGAUGUAGUCGUACGUCUUCACGAUCCGAUCGAUCAAGUACCGAACGCACGGCACCUCCGAGUUCUUGCACACGUUCAGCUCGAUGACGUCCCUCGAACUCCGAUCCAGGCGAGCUUUGAGGGAGAGUUCUGUCAGCACGACGACGUGUUAACGAUGAUGAUAUUCUACCGACGCAGGGCUUCGCCUAAGCACCACUACGAUAUUAUCGAGGUAGACUAUGGUGGAGAGGGGCACCGCACACGGCUAAGAGAUCCAAGGGAUCAAUUGUUGUGUCUCCAUGGGGUGCCCCUGUUGGGGAACGUAGCAGAAAUUCAAAAAUUUCCUAUGAGUCACCAAGAUCUAUCUAUGGAGAAACCAACAACAAAAGAGAGGGGAGUGCAUCUACAUACCCUUGUAGAUCGCUAAGCGGAAGCGUUCAAGAGAACGGGGUUGAAGGAGUCGUACUCAUCGUGAUCCAAAUCACCGGAGAUCCUAGUGCCGAACGGACGACACCUCCGCGUUCAACACAUGUACAGCCCGGGGACGUCUCCUCCUUCUUGAUCCAGCAAGGGGAGAGGAGAAGUUGAGGGAGAGCUCCGGCAGCACGACGACGUGGUGGUGGAGCUUGUAGUUCUUCGGCAGGGCUUCGCCAAGCACUACUACUACGGAGGAGGUGUUGGGGAGGGAGAGGGCUGCGCCAGGGGCUUGGGUGAAGCUCCCAUGCGCCUCCCCACUAUAUAUAGGGGUGGAGGGGGCUGGUUUCUUGCCCUCCAAGUCCAUUGGGGCGUUGGCAAAGGUGGGAGGAACGAAAUCCCAUCAUUUCCUUCCCCACUGAUUGUUAUCCCCCCUUUUUAGGGAUCUUGAUCUUAUCCCUUCGGGAUAUGAUCUUAUUCCUUCUAAGGGGGGUUCUUGGUGCGCCUUUACCAAGAGUGUGGGGCCUUUCCGCCACUACCCACGUUCAUGUGGGUCCCCCCAUUCUAGUGGGCACCACUCCGGAACCUUCUAGAACCUUCCCGGUACAAUACCGAAAAAUCACGAACAUUUUUCGAUGGCCAAAAUAGGACUUCCCAUAUAUAAAUCUUUACCUUCGGACCAUUCCGGAACUCCUUGUGACGUCCGGGAUCUAAUCUGGGACUCCGAACAACAUUUGGUAACUGCACACCAAUUCCCAUAACAACUCUAGCGUCACCGAACCUUAAGUGUGUAGACCCUACGGGUUCGGGAAUCAUGCAGACAUGACCGAGACAGCUCUCUGGCCAAUAACCAACAGCGGGAUCUGGAUACCCAUGUUGGCUCCCACAUGUUCCAUGAUGAUCUCAUCGGAUGAACCACGAUGUCAAGGAUUCAAGCAAUCUCGUAUACAAUUCCCUUUGUCUAGCGGUAUUGUACUUGCCCGAGAUUCGAUCGUCGGUAUGCCGAUACCUUGUUCAAUCUCGUUACCGGCAAGUCUCUUUACUCGUUCCGUAACACGUCAUCCCGUGAUCAACCCCUUGGUCACAUUGUGCACAUUAUGAUGAUGUCCUACCGAGUGGGCCCAGAGAUACCUUUCCGUCAACCGGAGUGACAAAUCACAGUCUCGAUUCGUGCCAACCCAACAGACACUUUCGGAGAUACCUGUAGUGCACGUUUAUAGCCACCCAGUUACGUUGUGAUGUUUGGUACACCCAAAGCAUUCCUACGGUAUCCGGGAGUUGCACAAUCUCAUGGUCUAAGGAAAUGAUACUUGACAUUAGAAAAACUUUAGCAUACGAACUACACGAUCUUUGUGCUAGGCUUAGGAUUGGGUCUUGUCCAUCACAUCAUUCUCCUAAUGAUGUGAUCUUGUUAUCAACGACAUCCAAUGUCCAUGGUCAGGAAACCGUAACCAUCUAUUGAUCAACAAGCUAGUCAUCUAGAAGGUUACUAGGGACUUGGUGUUUUCUAUGUACCCACACAUGUAUCUGAGUUUCCUAUCAAUACAAUUAUAGCAUGGAUAAUAAACGAUUAUCAUGAACAAGGAAAUAUAAUAAUAAUAACUAAUUUAUUAUUGCCUCUAGGGCACAUUUCCAACAGUCUCCCACUUGCACUAGAGUCAAUAAUCUAGUUCACAUCGCCAUGUGAUUAACAUUGACAGGUCACAUCGCCAUGUGACCAACAUCCAAAGAGUUUACUAGUGUUAUUAAACUAGUUCACAUCACCAUGUGAUUAAGACUCAAUGAGUUCUGGGGUUUGAUCAUGUUUUGCUUGUGAGAGAGGUUUUAGUCAACGGGUCUGCAACAUUCAGAUCCGUAUGUAUUUCACAAUUCUCUAUGUCAUAUUGUAAAUGCUGCUUCCACGCUCCACUUGGAGCUAUUCCAAAUGGUUGCGCCACUAUACGUAUCCGGUUUGCUACUUAGAGUCAUUCGGACAGGUGUUAAAGCUUGCAUCGACGUAACCCUUUACGCCGAACUCUUUAUCACCUCCAUAAUCGAGAAACAUGUCCUUUAUUUACUCCAAGGACAAUUUUGACCGCUGUCCAAUGAUCCAUUCCUGGAUCAUUCUUGUACCCCUUGACUGACUCAUGGCAAGGCACACUUCCGGUGCAGUACACAGCAUAGCAUACUAUAGAGCCUACGUCUGAAGCAUAGGGGACGACCUUCGUCCUUUCUCUCUCUUCUGUCGUGGUCGUGCUUUAACUCUUAACUUCAUACCUUACAACUCAGGCAAGAACUCCUUCUUUGACUGAUCCAUCUUGAACACCUUCAAGAUCAUGUCAAGGUAUGUGCUCAUUUGAAAGUACCAUUUAGUGUUUUUUUGAUCUAUCUUCAUAGAUCUUGAUGCUCAAUGUUCAAGCAGCUUAUUCCAAGUUUUCUAUUGAAAAACACUUUUCAAAUAACCCUAUAUGCUUUCCAGAAAUUCUACAUCAUUUCUGAUCAACAAUAUGUCAACAACAUAUACUCAUCAGAAAUUCUAUAGUGCUCCCACUCACUUCUUUGGAAAUACAAGUUUCUCAUAAACUUUGUAUAAACCCAAAAUCUUUGAUAAUCUCAUCAAAGCGUACAUUCCAACUCCGAGAUGCUUACUCCAGUCCUUAGAAGGAUUGCUGGAGCUUUGCAUAUUUGUUAGCGUUCUUCAGGAUUGACAAAACCUUCUGGUUGUAUCACAUACAACCUUUCCUCAAGGAUAUCGUCGAGGAAACAAUGUUUUGACAUCCUAUCUGCAAGAUUUCAUAAAUCAUGCAGUAAUUGCUAAUAUAAUUCCAACAGACUCUUAGCAUCGCUACGAGUGAGAAAGUCUCAUCGUAGUCAACUCCUUGAACUUGUCGGAAAACAUCUUAACGUCAAGUCGAGCUUUCUUAAUGGCGAUACUUACCAUCAUUGUCUGUCUUCCUUUUAAAAUCCAUCUGUACCCAACGGCCUUACGACCAUCAAGUAUUUCUUCCAAAGUCAUGGAUCCUCUCUCGGAUUUUAUGGUCUCGAGCCAUUCGUCGGAAUCCGGGCCCACCAUUGCUUCUCCAUAGCUCGUAGGUUCAUUGUUGUCUAGCAACAUGACCUCUAAGACAGGAUUGCGUACCACUCUGAAGUAGUACGCGUCCUUGUCGACCUACGAGGUCCGGUAGUGACUUGAUACGAAGCAUCAUGAUCACUAUCAUCAGCUUCCACGUCAAUUGGUGUAGGUGACACAUGAACAACUUCCUGUGCCCUGCUACUCACUGGUUGAAGUGAUGGUUCAAUAACCUCAUCAAGUCUCCACCAUCCUCCCACUCAAUUCUUUCAAGAAAAACUUUUCCUCGAGAAAGGACCCGUUUCUAGAAACAAUUACUUUUGCUUUCGGAUCUAAGAUAGGAGGUAUACCCAACUGUUUUGGGUGUCCUAUGAAUAUGCAUUUUUAUCCGCUUUGGGUUCGAGCUCAUCAACCUGAAACUUUUUCACAUAAGCGUCGCAGCCCCAAACUUUUAAGAAACGACAACUUAGGUUUCUCCAAACCAUAGUUCAAACGGUGUCGUCUCAACGGAAUUACGUGGUGCCCUAUUAAAGUGAGUGCGGUUGUCUCUAAUGCCUAACCCAUGAACGAUAGUGGUCAUUCGAUAAGAUACAUCAUGGUACGCGCUAUAUCCAAUAGGGUGCAAAUAUGAUGUUUGGACACACCAUCACAUUAUGGUGUUCCAGGCGGUAUUAAUUGUGAAACAAUUUCCAUAAUUUCUUAAUUGCGUGCCAAAGCUCGUAACUCAGAUACUCAUCUCUAUGAUCAUAUCAUAGAUAUUUUAUCCUCUUGUCACGAUGAUCUUCAACUUCACUCUGAAAUUACUUGAACCAUUCAAUAAUUCAGACUUGUGUUUCAUGAAAUAAAUAUACUCAGUAUCUACUUAAAUCAUCCAUGAAGUAAGAACAUAACGAUAUUCACUGCAUGCCUUAGCACUCAUUGGACUGCACACAUCAAAACGUGUUACUUCCAACAAGUUGCUAUCUUGUUCCAUUUUACUGAAAAUGAGGCUUUUCAGUCAUCUUGCCCAUGUGGUAUGAUUUGCAUUUCUCAAGUGAUUCAAAAUCAAGUGAGUCCAAAUGAUCCAUCUGCAUGGAGUUUCUUCAUGCGUAUACGCCAAUAGACAUGGCUCGCAUGUCUCAAACUUUUCAAAAACGAGUGAGUCCAAAGAUCCAUCAACAUGGAACUUCUUCAUGCGUUUUAUACCAAUAUGACUUACAUGGCAGUGCCAUAAGUAAGUGGUACUAUCAUUACUAUCUUAUAUCUUUUGGCAUGAAAAUGUGUAUCACUAUGAUCGAGAUUCAAUGAACCAUUAUUUUAGGUGCAAGAUCAUUGAAGGUAUUAUUCAAAUAAAUAGAGUAACCAUUAUUCUCCUUACAUGAAUAACCGUAUUGUGAUAGACAUAAUCCAAUCAUGUCUAUGCUCAAUGCAAACACCAAAUAACAAUUAUUUAGGUUUAACACCAAUCUUGAUGGUAGACAGAGCAGGCGAUGCUUGAUCACAUCAACCUUGGAAACACUUCCAACACACAUCGUCAUCUCACCUUAAGCUAGUCUCCGUUUAUUCCGUAGCUCUUUUAUUUCGAGUUACUAACACUUAGCAACCGAACCGGUAUCUAAUACCCUGGUGCUACUAGGAGUACUAGUAAAGUACACAUUAACAUAAUGUAUAUCCAAUAUACUUCUAUCGACCUUGUCAGCCUUCUCAUCUACCAAGUAUCUAGGGUAAUUCUGCUCCAGUGGCUGCUCCCCUCAUUACAGAAGCACUUAGUCUCGGGUUUGGGUGCAACCUUGGGUUUCUUCACUGGAGCAGCAACUGAUUUGCCGUUUCAUGAAGUACCCCUUCUUGCCCUUGCCCUUCUUAAAACUAGUGGUUUCACUAACCAUCAACAAUUGACGCUCCUUCUUGAUUUCUACAUUCGCAGUGUCGAACAUUGCGAAUAGAUCAAGGAUCAUUAUAUCUAUCCCUAUUAUGUUAUAGUUCAUCACGAAGCUCUAGUAGCUUGGUGGCAAUGUCUUUGGAGAAACAUCACUAUCUCAUCAGGAAGAUCAACUCCCACUCGAUUCAAGUGAUUGUUGUACUCAGACAAUCUGAGCACAAGCUCAAGAUUGAGCUUUUCUCCCUUAUUAUGCAGGCUAAGAAAAUCAUCGGAGGUCUUAUACCUCUUGAUGUGGGCACGAGCCUGAAAUCCCAAUUUCAGCCCUCGAAACAUCUCAUAUGUUCAGCGACAUUUCAAAAAUGUCUUCGGUGCCUCAAUUCUAAACCAUUUAACAUUACCAAACUAUCAUGUAGUCAUCAAAACGUGUAUGUCAGAUGUUCGCAACAUCCACAGACCACGUUCGAGGUCCAGCACACCGAGCGGUGCAUUAAGGACAUAAGCCUUCUACUGUCCGCAUAAUUGCUACUGUCAACUUUCAACUAUAUUUUCUCUAGGAACAUAUCUAAAACAGUAGAACUAAAGCGUGAGCUACGACAUAAUUUGCAAAAAUAUUUUGACUAUGUUCAGGAUAAACAAGUUCAUCUUAUGAACUCCCACUCAAAUAGACAUCCCUCUAGUCAUCUAAGUGAUUACAUGAUCCGAGUCAACUAGGUCGUGUCCGAUCAUCAUGUGAGACGGACUAGUCAUCAUCGGUGAACAUCUUCAUGUUGAUCGUAUCUACUAUACGACUCAUGCUCGACCUUUCGGUCUCUUGUGUUCCGAGGCCAUGUUUGUACAUGCUAGGCUCGUCAAGUCAACCGAAGUGUUUCGCGUGUGUAAAUCUGGCUUACACCCGUUGUAUGUGAACGUUAAAAUCUAUCACACCCGAUCAUCACGUGGUGCUUCGAAACGACGAACUUUCGCAACGGUGCACAGUUAGGGGGAACACUUUCUUGAAAUUUUAAUGAGGGAUCAUCUUAUUUACUACCGUCGUUCUAAGCAAAUAAGAUGCAUAAACAUGAUAAACAUCACAUGCAAUCAAGAAGUGACAUGAUAUGGCCAAUAUCAUUUUGCUCCUUUUGAUCUCCAUCUUCGGGGCUCCACGAUCAUCAUCGUCACCGGCAUGACACCAUGAUAUCCAUCAUCAUGAUCUCCAUCAUCGUGUCUUCAUGAAGUUGUCUCGCCAACUAUUACUUCUACUACUAUGGCUAUCGGUUAGCAAUAAAGUAAAGUAAUUACAUGGCAUUGUUCAAUGACACGCAUGUCAUACAAUAAAUUAAGACAACUCCUAUGGCUCCUGCCGGUUGUCAUACUCAUCGACAUGCAAGUCGUGAUUCCUAUUACAAGAACAUGAUCAAUCUCAUACAUCACAUAUCAUUCAUCACAUUCUUUUUGGCCAUAUCACAUCACAUAGCAUACCCUGCAAAAACAAGUUAGACGUCCUCUAAUUGUUGUUUGCAUGUUUUACGUGGCUGCUAUGGGUUUCUAGCAAGAACGUUUCUUACCUACGCAAAAACCACAACGUGAUAUGUCAAUUGCUAUUUACCCUUCAUAAGGACCCUUUUCAUCGAAUCCGAUCCGACUAAAGUGGGAGAGACUGGCACCCGCUAGCCACCUUAUGCAACAAGUGCAUGUCAGUCGGUGGAACCUGUCUCACGUAAGUGUACGUGUAAGGUCGGUCCGGGCCGCUUCAUCCCACAAAACCGUCGAAACAAGAUUGGACUAGUAACGGUAAGCAUAUUGAACAAAAUCAACGCCCACAACUACUUUGUGUUCUACUCGUGCAAAGAAUCUACGCAAUAGACCUAGCUCAUGAUGCCACUGUUGGGGAACGUAGCAGAAAUUCAAAAAUUUCCUACGAGUCACCAAGAACUAUCUAUGGAGAAACCAGCAACGAGAGAGAGGGGAGUGCAUCUACAUACCCUUGUAGAUCGCUAAGCGGAAGCGUUCAAGAGAACGGGGUUGAAGGAGUCGUACUCAUCGUGAUCCAAAUCACCGGAGAUCCUAGUGCCGAACGGACGACACCUCCGUGUUCAACACACGUACAGCCCGGGGACGUCUCCUCCUUCUUGAUCCAGCAAGGGGAGAGGAGAAGUUGAGGGAGAGCUCCGGCAGCACGACGGCGUGGUGGUGGAGCUUCCAGUUCUCCGGCAGGGCUUCGCCAAGCACUACUACGAAGGAGGAGGUGUUGGGGAGGGAGAGGGCUGCGCCAGGGGCUUGGGUGAAGCUCCCAUGCGCCUCCCCACUAUAUAUAGGGGUGGAGGGGGCUGGUUUCUUGCCCUCCAAGUCCAUUGGGGCGUUGGCAAAGGUGGGAGGAACGAAAUCCCAUCAUUUCCUUCCCCACCGAUUGUUAUCCCCCCUUUUUAGGGAUCUUGAUCUUAUCCCUUCGGGAUAUGAUCUUAUUCCUUCUAAGGGGGGAUCUUGGUGUGCCUUUACCAAGGGUGUGGGGCCUUUCCCCCACUACCCACGUUCAUGUGGGUGCCCCCCAUUCUAGUGGGCCCCACUCCAGAACCUUCUAGAACCUUCCCGGUACAAUACCAAAAAAUCACGAACAUUUUCCGAUGGCCAAAAUAGGACUUCCCAUAUAUAAAUCUUUACCUCCGGACCAUUCCGGAACUCCUUGUGAUGUCCGGGAUCUAAUCCGGGACUCCGAACAAUAUUCGGUAACUGCACACCAAUUCCCAUAACAACUCUAGCGUCACCGAACCUUAAGUGUGUAGACCCUACGGGUUCGGGAAUCAUGCAGACAUGACCGAGACAGCUCUCUGGCCAAUAAUCAACAGCGGGAUCUGGAUACCCAUGUUGGCUCCCACAUGUUCCAUGAUGAUCUCAUCGGAUGAACCACGAUGUCAAGGAUUCAAGCAAUCCCGUAUACAAUUCCCUUUGUCUAGCGGUAUUGUACUUGUCCGAGAUUCGAUCGUCGGUAUGCCGAUACCUUGUUCAAUCUCGUUACCGGCAAGUCUCUUUACUCGUUCCGUAACACAUCAUCCCGUGAUCAACCCCUUGGUCACAUUGUGCACAUUAUGAUGAUUUCCUACCGAGUGGGCCCAGAGAUACCUUUCCGUCAACCGGAGUGACAAAUCCCAGUCUCGAUUCGUGCCAACCCAACAGACACUUUUGGAGAUACCUGUAGUGCACCUUUAUAGCCACCCAGUUACGUUGUGACGUUUGGUACACCCAAAGCAUUCCUAUGGUAUCCGGGAGUUGCACAAUCUCAUGGUCUAAGGAAAUGAUACUUGACAUUAGAAAAGCUUUAGCAUACGAACUACACGAUCUUUGUGCUAGGCUUAGGAUUGGGUCUUGUCCAUCACAUCAUUCUCCUAAUGAUGUGAUCCCGUUAUCAACGACAUCCAAUGUCCAUGGUCAGGAAACCAUAACCAUCUAUUGAUCAACAAGCUAGUCAUCUAGAGGCUUACUAGGGACUUGGUGUUUUCUAUGUACCCACACAUGUAUCUGAGUUUCCUAUCAAUACAAUUAUAGCAUGGAUAAUAAACGAUUAUCAUGAACAAGGAAAUAUAAUAAUAAUAACUAAUUUAUUAUUGCCUCUAGGGCACAUUUCCAACAGCCCCCUCCCCGUAUAUAAAGGAGUAGAGGAGGGGAGGGCCGGCCCUCUCUUGGCCGCGCCAUAGGGGAGUCCUACUCCCACCGGGAGUAGGAUUUCAAAAUAAAUUUCAAUUAUGUUAGAAUUCAUUAAUAUUACACAUAAUCUGAAAUCUCAUAAUCCGAAAUAAUUUCCAAAAUGUACAAAAUUUCUGAAAUUUUGCCUAUUUUGCACCAUUGCUCCCUAAUGAGGUCGAUUAGCGGCCGCCUCUACCAUCACUUGACCCCGCGACCGAGCCGAGCUGCUGCUCCUUCAGAGCUUUUUUGCUUUCGGACGGCGCGACGAUGGUAGAGGCGUCGAGAAGACCGCCCCAAGGCCAUUCCUAGACGACAUGGCGACCACCUUGGCCCCGAUGAGCAGCCGACCAGAUUUCUCUUUCCUUGCGCACUAGUUGUUCGACCAAAAGCCUCAAAGGAAAAAAAAUCAGUUUUUCGUUCUUUUUGUUGCGAUAUGCGAGUAGAUUGUAAUGAAAAGUAUUGAGUUGUAGAUGAGUUAAUUCGGAUCCUCUCUGUGAGAUGAUGCCUCCUCCGAAGAAGAAUAUGAGAUGGACGAAGACGAAGGCACUGCUUUGAUCAUGAUAAUGUACAUGCAUAAGAGAUCUCAUCGAAGAGUUGUGGACAUAGAAUGAGCAACAAACAACUAACUUCAUCUCUAUGUUUUAUGUCAUGUGUAAUGAACAGACGACACUCCACGCAAGAUGCAUGCACGAUUCACAAUCAGAUGGAUGUGGAGCACUUUAUGCUACGACUGAAUGGCUGGAUGUGGAGCGUCGUUCAUGCAUUGUUAUAAAAACGUGGUGUGCAUAGCAGCUCUCAUUGCUAUAUACUCCCUCCGUUCCUUUAUAUAAGGUGUAUUUGUUUUUUGAUGAAAUUUCAGAAUGUAAGGUGCAUUUAUUCUAAUUCCUUAUAAUUCCCUUGUUAGACCUCCAAAAAAAGGAAGAGUAUCUCUCUCUUGAUUGUCUGUAUCUCUUCUUGUAGCAAAAGAAUGAAAGUAUCUUUCUGUGGAUUGCAUGUAUCUCAUACUUUCCUCGACUAAUUGAUUUACUUGCCACUAAAAAAUGAAAUUGCCAAGGAUAAUUUCAUACUAACAUGUUUAUAAUUUCGUGUCUUGUUUACCAUGCCGAAAAUAAUACACCUUACAUAAAGGAACGGAGGGUGUAUUACCCAUGACGAGCAGUAUGAGUGCAUCAUUGACACACGCCUAGAUGUCUGCUCACAAGAAAUGGACGCAAGCCGACUAACCAAACACGACUAACGUUUUGACAUCUUCGUAACCUGACACGACACACAACAACAAGCAAUUAGUGUGUCUUGACAAAGAAAACGGACUCGCUUAUCGGCUAGUCAGUUCCAGAAGAUGUGCUGACGUCUGUCAACAAUGCAAACCGUCCUGUGAUUGGAUGGUUAGAUGGACACACUAUUAAGGAAAACCUUAUACACAGAAGCUUACUAGUAGCGCUUUUUAAAAGGCAACGCUGCUACUAGAUAUUAGUAGCGCUCGACAGAAGCAAGCGCUGCUACUGUGAUCUUACCAGUAGCGCUCUCGUUACAAAAGACGCUACUACUAUAACUGUCAGACCGUUGGCGGCAGCCCAGGCAUACUAGUAGGGCUCGUUUGCAAAAAAGCACUACUGCUAUUGCUAAAUUGACCAAAAGUUUAGUCCCACCUCGCUCCGCAUACAUAAUAUUUACCAGCUUAAAUAUGGUGCUUCCCAAACUAUCACAACCAAUUGGUCUUCAUUGAACUCCAUGUGUAGGAUCUAUGGCAAUAUGAAUCCUCGCCUGUACCUAUACACGCGAGGAUUUAUACUGACAAUUUAGAUUCUACAAAAAAAUCAAUGAUGACCAAUGCAUUUUUAAUUUGAUGCCUGUUUUACAUGCUAAUGAUCGUAGCCUUAGUAGUAGCGCUGCUUUUGAAAAAAACGCUACUGCUAAUGAUUAUAGCAGUCGCGCUUUUUACUUGCCAACGCUACUACUAUGGGUAUCUUAUCUUAUCCGCGCGUGCGGCCUCACUCUCCCCUCACACUCUCAUCGCUCGCCCACUCCGGCCGCCGCGCACCGUCGCCCACUCGCCCACCUUUUCGCCCUCAUCUCCCCUCCCUCUCGCCGCCCUCCUCCUCUCCCCUCCGAUCACGUCGCCCCACCUCCAUCCUCCGCCCCUCCUCCGUCCUUCUCCUUCCUCCUUCCNNNNNNNNNNNNNNNNNNNNNNNNNNNNNNNNNNNNNNNNNNNNNNNNNNNNNNNNNNNNNNNNNNNNNNNNNNNNNNNNNNNNNNNNNNNNNNNNNNNNNNNNNNNNNNNNNNNNNNNNNNNNNNNNNNNNNNNNNNNNNNNNNNNNNNNNNNNNNNNNNNNNNNNNNNNNNNNNNNNNNNNNNNNNNNNNNNNNNNNNNNNNNNNNNNNNNNNNNNNNNNNNNNNNNNNNNNNNNNNNNNNNNNNNNNNNNNNNNNNNNNNNNNNNNNNNNNNNNNNNNNNNNNNNNNNNNNNNNNNNUGCCCCCCCCCCCGCUCGGUCGUCCUCCACCGAGAGGUACUCCUCCUCCCUCCUCCCUCCUCCUCCCUAGUUAAUUUUGAACUCUAGCUAGUUGAAAAUUUUAGGUUAGAUCUUAGAAUAAUGUAGUAGGUUAUGAUCUUAGGUGUUUAAUUUUAGGAUAAUGUAGUAUAAACCCUAGCUAGUUAUGAUCGAACCAUGUUCAAAAUGUAGGUUUUUAAUUAGGUGUACUUAAUAUAAUUUAGGUAUUUUAGGUGUUUAAUCUUAGAAUAAUGUAGUAUGAACCCUAGUUAUGAUCGAACCAUGUUCAACAUGUCAAAUUUGUUGUUAUUUUUUAGUUAAAACAUUUAUUCCCGGAUCGACGUUGACGAUGCCUAUCCCGCACCCUCGUCGUCGACUCGAUGGAGGACACCUGCUUGAUCAGAGGGGCCAUGUCCGGGACUGGGCUCCGCCGGGCUGGUACUGGGAGGUGCUACGUUCUGGGCGGCGCAGCUUGGUGAGGACCCGUCGUUGACCCGAGCCUUCUUUGGUGGCGGUCACGUGGGCCAAUUACAAUGCGGAGGCUUGAGGACCCCGUGGAGGUGGUACGUCACCGUGUCAGCGAGGAGGACGAGCACGUCCGUCGCUAUAUGGUUGCGUUGGAGGGAAGGUUCUCCAAUACCUGACAGGUUCUUCAGGGAUCUCACUGGAGCUAUGAUCCUGUGAUGGUUCCUUCUCUUUGGGUGUCCACCUCCCAUGCCGAUACCCGUCGUUCACUAGGGUUUUAGCUAUAUUAGUGAUGUUAUAUGUAUGAUACUAUUCGAGAUGUAUUAGUGAUAAUAUUCAACGAUAUAUGGACGAAAGAGAUGAUUUAGUUUUGCUUAUUGAAUGCAUGCUAAUUUGAAUACUUAUUUAUUUUACGAUUUGGUUUUGCUUACUGAAUGCUCAAAUUGGAAAACUACUCCUACUUUGAAUGCCCAACUGGCCGGCCAUGUUUGCAGGUUACACCUCCGAGUGGCCUAUGCUUUGCCGGAGUGUUGAUUAAUUUUCGUUCCAGCAAAUUUCAGGCGCUCGAUAUGUCCUUUUUUAGCAAAGUUCAUGCCGGAUUUUCCCAUGAAUUCUGGCAUGACUUGUGCUAGAAUGUAUAGGAAAUAUAGAGUGGCCUGGAUUUUCUAGAAAGAUAAUUAAAUGACAUAUCAGGUUGACUUUAAUUCUGUCGAGGCCCCAUACAUGACAAUCAAAAAAUAAGUGAGGGAGUGUGUCCACCAUAUGUGAGAGAAGAAUAAUGCCGACUGUUGUCGUGGGGGUCGCUUCUCCUUCAUUCCCGUGUGCUAGACAUUUUUGUUUAAUGCACUCGGGGAUGAAGGGAGGAGCGACCAUCACCAAUGGUCGAAUAUAUACACCAUGUGAGCUGAGAGUUUUCAAAAAAAGACUCGAUGGACUGAUAGUCAACCCGUGCUGAUAAUAAUGAUCUAAUUUAGUUUUUAUAGUACAUAUAUUGAAUUGUACAAGUUUAAUAUUUGAAUUAUGAACCUCUACUUCCUCUACUCCCGAGUAGUUGCCUUCGACUGAUUUUCAAUGUUUCAAAUAUGAACAUAUAUAGGAAAUGUCUGACGACGAAAGAAAAUUUGGUAUGUGUGAAUACUGUGAAGACGAGCACGACAUGUGCGGCAGGCCUUACCUAGUUGGUGGUAGGCGCUUCAGCUCGUGCUGGAUGAGAACUUCGAAGUGGAUACAGUAAGUCACAACGACAAGUCUUUUUUCGUAAUUAAGCAUGACUUCUGCUACUUUUGCUUUUUUUGCUUCAACUUAUAAUUUUAAUUUUUUACAAUUCUACUAGUGUAUCCCUUGUCAUGCAAGAAUCUUUGUUUUGGAUAAGAUUGGUUUUAGUAUUAUGGAAAGUAUGGAGGUAAAGAAAGUUCACUUGAGGACCGAGCAUGGUUAUACUUUUGCCGCAAAAUUAUACAAUGCAGACACCUACUCCUGUGUUGAAUGCAAAAAUUGGGGAGCACUAUGCAAGGCUUAUGCAUUUGAGCCUAAUAUGAUUGUCACCUUUGAUAUUCGUCCGGAAGAUGAAUUUGAAGGUAAUAUAGACAUCUGGGUCGAUGUGCAGAUGCCUCCAGUCCUACCAUUAUGUGAGUUUCUCAACCAUAUUUAUGUCUUGGAUAUUGUUUAUUCAAAAAUAGUUAACAACUAAUUUCUAUUGACAACUUAUUUUCAUUCAAGCAAACCUGUCCGACACUUGGUAGACAUGACCUACUAUUGUCCCGGGGUUGAACUAAACUGCGAGGAGAUAAGUCAUUAUGUUUUAUGGCUUGAGGAUCUUCAUACUGUGAAGACAAAUUAUUUUCCUGGAUUUGAAAAUCUUAGUACUGAAAGCGUGCGACCAAUAGUGUUCGUACUGAACUACAGUCACAUCUAUUUAGGAAAGAUGGUAAGAUGUUUACUAUUUUUCCUCUGCGCAUCUUUUGCAUACAUUAUUUUUUAAGCUAAACUUCAUUGCUAAGUAUGUUACUACGAUGUUCUUCAACAGGGACUUCCGAUGAUAGUUGUGCCUCAGUGGAUCGAGGCUAAAGGUCUCAUCUCCAUGGUUAGCAUACGGCCAAGACAUCCUAUAAUGCACAUCAGUGCAUUCAGGAUUUAUAAAAGAGAGCAAGUGUUAAUAGUCAAAGACUGGUGUCGGUGUCAAAACCGACGGAUCUCGGGUAGGGGGUCUCAAACUGUGCGUCUAAGGCUAAUGGUAACAUGAGACUAGGGAGACAGUGUUUACCCAGGUUCGGGCCCUCUCGAUGGAGGUAAUACCCUACUUCCUGCUUGAUUGAUCUUGAUGAUAUGAGUAUUACAAGAGUUGAUCUACCACGAGAUCGUAGAGGCUAAACCCUAGAAGCUAGCCUAUGAUUAUGAUUGUCCUUCCCCUACGGACUAAACCCUCCGGUUUAUAUAGACACUGGAGGGGGCUAGGGUUACACAGAGCCGGUUACAGAGAAGGAGAUCUAAUAUCCGAAUCGCCAAGCUUGCCUUCCACGCAAAGGAGAGUCCCAUCCGGACACGGGACAAAGUCUUCAAUCUUGUACCUUCAUAGUCCAACAGUCCGACCAAAGUAUAUAGUUCGGCUGUCCGGAUACCCCCUUAUCCAGAACUCCCUCAGUAGCCCCUGAACCAGGCUUCAAUGACGAUGAGUCUGGCGUGCAGAUUGUGUUCGGCAUUGCAAGGCGGGUUCCAUCACCAAAUACUCCAAAGUAAUUUUCGAACACUUAAGUCGUGUCCGGCUCUGCAAGACAAAUUUCACAUACCACCGUAGAAAGAACAAUAAUCCACAAAUCCAAUCUGCUAACAACUCUUCGUAGCGUGACAUCAGGCCACGACCCGGUCAUUAUUCGGACUGUUUUUCACAACCAGCUACCGCACAUAUUGCGAGGCGGUUUCCUUGGCACGUCUUUCGAAGCAGAGAUCGUGUCCCCUUAUCACGGGAUCCUCAUCAAUACGGGUGCGGGUAACCCCACCAUGCCUGUUGGCAUGACUCUGUGUUUUUAGGCAAGUCCCAAACGGUUAUGCUAGGGACGCUUCAUAUUCUCCCCCUUUAUAGAGGGGUCGAGGCCUAUCCCUUUCUUACCACGCUUGCGCCCUUCCGCAUCUCGAGUUACAACACUCGAAGCUCAAGCUUAGGUACUUCGGAUCUUCAAUCAUGUCCGGAUCCAACCUUCAAGGUCGGUGGAUGGCAGAGGGGGACAUUGCGAAGCUCAGGGAGGCCAGAUAUUUGACCGCCGACGUCAAGCACAGGCUUCCUGCCCCUGGGUAGGUCAUCCCUACUCCCGAACCCAAUGAGAGUGUUGUAUUCGUUUCUCACUUCCUCCGAGGCUUAGGUUUCACCCUAGAUCCCUUCGUGAGAGGGCUCAUGUUCUAUUACGGGCUAGAUUUUCACGAUCUAGCUCCAUAUUCCAUCCUUCGUAUCUCGUCGUUUAUCGCCGUGUGUGAAGCCUUCCUCCACAUGACCCCACACUUCGGCUUAUGGCUCAAGACCUUCAAUGUGAAGCCGAAGGUGAUCGAGGGGGGACAUGCGGAGUGCAGAGGCACUACGAUAAGCAGAAACGCCGAUGCUCCAUGGCCAAAAGGUUCCUUCCCAGAGGUGUCCAAUCUGUGGCAACGGAGGUGGUUCUACGUCACAGCUCCCCGAGGCACAAAGUGGGUGGCUGCCCCCGUCGUCCGCCCGGGCCCUCCGCCUCAACUGGCGUCGUGGGCCAACGUGGGACUGGACUGGGGGUCUGUUAAUGAUGUACCGACAUUGCAGAGUUGUAUUCAGGAGCUUCUUGAGAGGGAUAUCGAUCUUGUCAGAAUCAUUCAGGUAAUGCUAGUUCGGCAGGCCCUGCCGUGCAAACGUUGGCCUCUUCGGAUGUGGGAGUUUAAUCCAGAAGGUCCACGAACCAUUCCGCACUUCUUUGGCAUGACGCUCGAAGGGAUGUAUAAGUUAUUCUUCGGACCACAAGUAAGGUGUCCGGACACCACCGAGGAUGCGGGCCUGAGCUGCAACCGCCCAGAUACCCAAGUAAGUAACCCUGUAACCGAACACUUCAUUUAUGUUUAAUGCAACAUUAUUCUGAAAACUUGUCCGCCGUCAGGAUUGGCUCAGCAAGGCGGAGAGGAUUAUGUGUCCGGCCCCACUUUCCGAAGGCUCGCCUAGUCCUGCAAUAGCCAGGAUGCUUAGAUGUGUGCUAAGCCAAGUGCCUUCGGGGAAAGGGGAAGAGAGAAAUAGAGAAGCCGAGCUCCACACAUUGCACAUCCAAACUGGGGGAAUUACCGUCUCUACGAAGGAGGAUAAUCGGGGAGGUGAAUCCAAGGUUUCCUCCCCCCGCGGGAAGAAAAGGGCCGCCUCCGAAGACUUGGAGACGGAGGUGCCUAAGCAAGGGAAGAAUGCUUCAUCAGGGGGCCCUGCCCCAAAUGGCGUCCUUACCGCACCAUGCCCGCAAACGGGCCAGCCCUCCACCGAGCUAUAAGUUAAUCGUAACUAAAAAGCUAUUGCUUUUUUCCUCCGAGAACAAUAUCCAGGAUCUAUCUUUUGCAGUCCGGCUAGUAGCUCGUGUGAACAUAGUUGGUCUUCGGGGGAUCUUCUUCCGGAGAUGAUGGAGAGUGAAACCCCACCCGCCUCUCCACCCCAUGGGGCGGGCGACCCUGAGGUGUCGUCACGGAGGAGUCCAGAUCCGUCGAGGCCGGAAGCUAACACUUCGUCCACUCCGAGCCCGGCGUGUUUGGCUCCCAUGGAGGGCAGUGAGAAGGGUCCGGGACAGUCCGGCGCCCGGCCGAACAUACUGACGGGCCUCCUGGAGCAAGCUGCUCUCUCGGAGGAUCACCGUACGUUAAUGGGUACGGUGUUGGAGAAGAUCUCAUCCGCCACAAGCGGGUUAAAUGAAGCUUUUGGAAGCCUGCUCAAAGGCUUUGAGGUACGCAACGAAAUACAUAAUUUUUGGUUGUACCGCACAUGCUAGGUGUGCUCCUUAUAGAUAGUAGCCCCUGAGACUCUGGUUGCCAGCCCUAGGUGGCAAACGGAGGAUCACACUUUCAGGUAAUGAUCGUACUGCAUUCAUGCGCAAGUGCUUAAGGGUCCGAUGGUAGACCAGACUGCUGAAUUCGCCGAACUGAGGCGACAAAUUGAUGUGGUAUCACGCUUGUAAACAAGUGGCUUGACGAGUCACAGAGUAUGCGCUCGUUUUUUCCUUGUUUGUUUAGGAAAUAUUAAGAGGAUUGUAAUGUUAAUAUGGUAUGAUUUGGCUGCAGGCGGAGCUGCUGCCAUUGAGGCCCUGAGGGCAGAACUUGCCCUAGCCAAGGAACAAGCCCAGGCUAGCAAUGCGGCUGCCCUAAAGGCGUCCGAAGAUUUGAGAGCCGAUCAGGCUGAUCAUCGCCGAAGCAAAGAAAAGAUAGCCGAGAUGGCUGUGGAGCUGAGGGACGCCACCGGCCGGUAUGAGCUUCUCGAGAAGGAGAAUCAGGCAAAGUCGGCUGACCUGAAGAAGGCCCUGGAUGCGGCUAAGGAAACACGCUCUGAAAUUAGAGCUGCGUGGGAGGAGCUUCGACAGGCCAGAGAUAUCGCGGUUGGAAGCCCCUAUUUAUUGCGGAUGAAGUUUGGAGACCCAAAGUACGCUCUUCUGGAUCAACUUUUGAGCGCUGCAGACGCGUAUGCAGAUCUGGCAAAAAGUGCGGCUGAUGCGACCAAGUUCUUCAAGGAUCAAAAAGAUAAUGACAUAGAAAGGCUGUUCUGGUCGCAAUUCCAUGCUCCGACGCGCCCGUUGCCAUUGAGUGAGAGAACGACCACUAUGGCCGAGCUCCAUAGGUUGUCCGAUCUUGCAAUGAGGUCUGUUAUAGACCAUCUAUGGCUAAAGGGACCAAGGCCGUGCAGUUAUUUUGGUUUAGUGCAACAAUUCCUUGGCGCUGUAUCGAGAAUCGAUGCCAUGAGGAGGUCAGCAUGCAUAGAGGGUGCGCGGAUGGCUCUUGCCCAGGUUAACAUUUUGGGCGGAUAUGGAGGCCACCAUCAUUGCAACCCAGAGUCCGGCAGGAAGCCAGGACCCAGCCGAGAACUAUUUUGAGCAGGUCAUAGAAGGUGCCCGUAUGAUAGAGUCUUAGUGCUCGAAGAGUGUCAUGUUCGAGUGACAAGUUGUUUAAUUGUAAAAACAAUUCUGUGUUAAUUAUAACGGCUGUGUUUGUACUUCCGCCAGAAAGUUUUAUAGUGCCUCCCGUGCGGCCGUUUAUGUAUGUAUAUAACCUGAAAGUUAACAGUCGUUGGCUUCAGCCCCCAUGCAUAUAAUGUGGGGGUGUUCGAGAAAAUGUGCGUAAUCACACUUAAUCCAACGUCUUGGUCCAUUAAGGAGGUGAUCACACGUCGAACUAGGCAACCGGACUAUAUAGCUGUAACACUUUCACUUAGCCAUAGGAGUUUGACGAUGGGGCUACUAUGUAGCCCCUAGUACCUCCGCGUUCAUCCGGAUAGGGGCGCGUGUGUACAUGACCAGGAAACGGUCCUUCGUUAAUGCGGAGGAAUCCUAAAGAUCCCGAUGAGUCCUUGAAUGGUUGACCAGUCUCUUGCUAUAUCAUGACAGUCAGUUUUCGGCUUUCUCUACUGAGGUGCUCAUCCAGAAUAACCAGGGCACAAUCGCAGUAGUUCUCCUUUGGCCGCCUUAGCUGAUAGAACGGAACAUAAGGCCGCAAACCCAGGAGCCGGGCAAACCCAACAUUUGACCAAAGACAUGAUUAGGAGCUGAUGCAUAUAAAGCCAAACUCGCGACACCGAACACUCCCGAAGGUAUUCGGACUUUAUAACAUAUACUGGGUUGAGCAACGCCCUCGAUUAUGAACCCUGUAUUUCUAGGUACGGGCAUUGAUCUGUCGUGGCGAAAUGCCUAUAACGCCAGUAUCCCCUGUGGGUGUAUUGAAUACCCAUGGGAAGUCAAGCAACAAGAGACAGUAAAGAAGGUCUACACAGGGGCUUAAUCUAAAGAGAAACCUUUGAGCGGGGCCCUGCUGCACGUCUGCGCCUUUGUCUCUGUUGUGCCGUAUCCUGGAAGGGUGUCGCACGAAUAGUGUCUGCAAAAAUGAAAACUCAUGUAAAAGAGUAAGCGUGCGAAAGGUUGUUUAUUCUCAAUGAAUGUUAAAAAUGUGAGAUAUUGGCAUAUUAAUAAGGUCACGCCGAAUUGUGGGCCUUAUUACAUGUUUGCAGCCCUUGGUACCAUCUAUGGGGGUGUAUGUAUAGCACCCAGCUCAGGUUUAUCCGAGCUGUUACUAAUGGUGGUGCACCAGACUCAUCUAGCCGUGUCCGUGGUCUUAACGACCGAUCAUGCGCUCUACUGGGAGAGGCCGCUUAGUGUCCGGCUGCAAGAGCCGCCACAUACUCUUCCACAUGUGAGGAGUGCUCCGUGUUUCUGCUAACAGUGAUGAUGCCAUGUGGACCGGGCAUCUUAAGUUUAAGGUAGGUGUAGUUUUGUACAACGUUGAAGCGAGCGAAGGCCGUUCUUCCAAGCAAUGCAUGAUAACCGUUGCUGAAGGGAGCAAUGUCGAAGAGUAAUUCUUCGCAUCUGGAGUUGUCGGGAGAACCGAAUGUCAUCUCUAACACGAGGGAGCCCCUGCAGCGGGUCUCAAUGCCUGGUAUCACUCCUUUAAAGGUGGUGUUACUUUGGCUGAUUCUCGAUGGGUCUAUCCCCAUUUUGCGGGCGUGUCCUGAUAUAUCAAAUUGAGACUACUGCCGCCGUUCAUUAGGACUUGAGUGAGAUGGUAUCCAUCAACUAUUGGGUCGAGCACCAAGGCAGCCGAUCCUCCAUGCCGAAUACUGGUCGGGUAGUCCCUGUGAUCAAAGGUGCUUGGGCAGGCUGACCAAGGGUUGAAUUUGGGGGCAACGGGCUCUACAACGUAUACGUCUCUGAGCGCGCGUCUGCGCCUUCUCUUUGGUAUGUGAGUCGCGUAGAUCAUGUUUACUAUUUUGACUUCUGGUGGGAAUUUUUUUCUGUCCCCCAGUGUUCGGCUGGCGAGGCUCAUCCUCGUCUUCGCUUGGCAUAUCCCUUCCCUUGUGUUCGGCAUUUAACUUGCCGGCCUGCUUGAAGACCCAGCAUUCUCUGUGAGUAUGAUUUGCAGGUUUUUCGGUGGUGCCAUGGAUUUGGCACAAUCUGUCCAGGACUUUAUUCAGGUCGGACGAUCCCUCUUUGCUGCCUUUAAAUGGCUUCUUGCUUUGACCAGGUUGCGAGCCCCUGAAUCCGGCGUUGACCGCCGUGUUGUCCGGACUGUCUUCAUUGUUUCGACGCUUGUUCUUAUUGCGCCGUGGCUUUCCGUUGCCAUCCCUAAUUUCAGAUGUGCCUGGGUCACUGGUGCCUCUACGGGCCAACCAGCUGUCCUCGCCCGCACAAAAGCGGGUCAUGAGGCUUGUUAAGUCCGCCAUUGUCCUCGGCUUUUCUUGUCCGAGGUGUCUGGCCAGCCACUCGUUCCGGAUACUGUGCUUGAAGGCCGCGAGGGCUUCGGCAUCCAGACAGUCAACAAUUUGAUUCUUCUUAGUGAGAAAUCUGUUCCAAAGCUUGCGGGAUGACUCUCCGGGUUGUUGUAUUAUGUGACUUAAAUGUCUGCGUCCGGAGGUCGGACAUAGGUCCCUUGAAAAUUGGCCCUGAAAGCGUUCUCAAGUUCCUCCCAACUUCCAAUUGAAUUUUUGGGGAGGCUUUUCAACCAGUGCCGAGCUGGCCCUUUUAACUUGAGGGGAAGGUAUUUGAUGGCGUGGAGGUCAUCCCCACGAGCCAUGUGGAUAUGAAGGAUAAAGUCCUCAAUCCAGACUCCAGGGUCUAUCGUUCCGUCGUAUGCCUCUAUGUUCACGGGUUUGAAUCCCUGUGGAAAUUUGUGAUCCAGCACCUCAUCGGUGAAGCACAGAGGGUGCACAUCCCCUCUCUAUCUGGACAUGUCAUGGUAGGCUGUCGACUGUUGUUGUGUCCGGUGUUGAUUCCGAACUGUUACUUGAUCAGAUUGAUCGUUUUGGUGACCAUGAUCCCGUGUCGGAGCAUGUCCUCUUGAUCCAUAUAUGGACCUGGUCGCGCUGACCUUUUUGUCCAGGAGCUCAUGUAAAUCCUGUGCAGCGUCAGUGGCUGCUCUAUCGCGGCCAUGAAGUGGUUGGUCCGGCCGAUUGGCCGUAUUGUUCUUCGGCGGAAUGGGAUCUACGGCCUCAUCUUCGAAUUCGGGCAGCAGCUUGCGUUUUGGGUAGCUCUUUGUGUGGCGUUCGUCGCCAUAUUUUCCUUCAGUGUCUAGCACCUUAUUCCAUCUGCGGUUGAGCGUAUCCUGCGCGGCCUUAAGCCUUUGCUUCUGUUUUUUAGGCUCCUCGUCGUGGCCAUAAGCCUUCUGCGGAGGUUAUGUUGUUCCAAACGUUUUUUCCGGGAUGAUGAAUGCAUCAUCGACCGGACUGUCCUCCUCUUCGGAGGCAGUUUGAUGAGUUCGGCCCUCGGGAUCAUUGUGAUCGGCCGUCUGUUCCGGGCUGUGUUCAGCGUGGCCUGGCUCAUCUUGCUCCAUCGCCAAGUCCAUAUUGUUGCCUUUGGAGUCGGUCGGAGUGUCAAUUUUCCUUGCGCUGUUAUCGCUAUUUUUACUGUGACUGGAGUUAGAGCAGCGCCUGUGCCAUCGUUUUGGCUUUUGUCCGGGGGGUUUAUCCUCCAUUGUGUCAUUUUUGUCACCGUUGUCUUCCUUAGGCGUGUCCACCAUGUAGAUGUCAUAUGAUGAAGUGGCGGUCCAGUGCCCCAUGGGCGGUGGUUCCAGAUCGUCCCCUGCAUCGACGUCCAUACCGUCGAUGUCGUUGGAGUCGAAAUCAAGCAUGUCUGUUAGGUCAUCGAUAGUGGCUAUGAAGUGGGUGGUGGGUGGGAGGCGAUUUUCUUCGUCGUCCGUAUCCCACUUGGGCCGGACAUAGUUCGACCAAGAGUCUCCUGACAAAGAGAGAGACCUUAAAGAGUUUAGCACGUCGCCGAAGGGCGAGCGCUGAAAAAUAUCCGCGGCAGUGAACUCCAUAAUUCGAGUCCAAUCAGCUUCGAUGGGUAUGGAUGCGCGCGGCCCAGGACCCGCGGCCGGAAACGAGUCCGGGGGUCCGGUGACACAGAUUUCCUUAGAGGUGGAGUCUGUGUCUGGCUCCAACACCGAUGGGUGUGCGGCCUCCGUGGCGGGGUCCAUCCACCUGUCCUUGGAUGACGCGAUCUGCCCCGGAUUUAGGUCCGGAGCUGUUGCAGGUGCGAUAUCCCGAAUACUGUCCGACAGCAGAUCUAAGUGUGCUCGUCGCGAGCGUUCGGCGUUCCCGACGUAGGCCCGAAUCCGUUGAAGAUCAAGUACCUGCGGAUGUCGGCCGUGUAAUUCAAGUUUCCGAACUUGACCUGAUGGCCAGGGGCGUAGCUGUCGAUCUGCUCCAGAUGGCCAAGCGAAUUGGCCCGCAGUGCGAAGCUGCCGAACACGAAGAUCUGUCCGGGGAGAAAAGCCUCACCCUGGACCACAUCGUUGUUGAAGAUUGAAGGAGCCAUUGAGCCUUAUAGCGACGACACAGAGGAACUCUCAAUGAAAGCACCAAUGUCGGUGUCAAAACCAGCGGAUCUCGGGUAGGGGGUCCCGAACUGUGCGUCUAAGGCUAAUGGUAAUAGGAGACUAGGGACACGGUGUUUACCCAGGUUCGGCCCUCUCGACGGAGGUAAUACCCUACUUCCUGCUUGAUUGAUCUUGAUGAUAUGAGUAUUACAAGAGUUGAUCUACCACGAGAUCAUAGAGGCUAAACCCUAGAAGCUAGCCUAUGAUUAUGAUUGUCCUUCCCAUAUGGACUAAACCCUCCAGUUUAUUUAGACACCGGAGGGGGCUAGGGUUACACAGAGUCGGUUACAGAGAAGGAGAUCUAAUAUCCGAAUCGUCAAGCUUGCCUUCCACGCAAAGGAGAGUCACAUCUGGACACGGGACGAAGUCUUCAAUCUUGUACCUUCAUAGUCCAACAGUCCGGCCAAAGUAUAUAGUCCGGCUGUCCGGAUACCCCCUUAUCAAGGACUCCUUCAACUGGAACAAAAUUGUGAAUGAUCGCUGAGAAGUACUAGGGGGUAGCAAUCAGAAGCGCAGCCCACAAGUAGGAGACAGAUUCAUCUGCAUUCCAAUAUGAUGAAGCAGGAGUGUUACACAUGUUCUAUGCUAUUUUACCUGAGAGAGAGCAGCAUGAGUGAUUAGUUGGCUAGAAUGAGUUUGAAGAUGAUGAUGUGCUACACUAUGACUAUGAUGAUUAAAUAGUUAGUGUUGGUGAUAAUGACUAUGAUGAUUAUUAUUAGCUAGUGUUGGUGGUGAUUAGAUAGCUACUGUACGUAGUGUUGGUGGUGUUUAGCUAGCUAAAUGAGUUUGAAGAUAAUGAUGUGCUACACUAUGACUAUGACCGAUGGUAAUGACUAUGAUGAUGAUUAGUUAGUAUAUACAAUAGUGGGUGAAAUGAAUGUUGAUUAGGUUCAAGUUGAGGCAACAUGUAGUGGUGCAUGUUGAAAGUAUACUAGCUAAUCAACAUUAAAAUAAGCAGUGCAUUCAGGAGUCCACUUGAACCUAAUCAACAUUAAUUUCACCCACUGUUGUAUAUACUAACUAAUCAUGGUGAUAAAAUCAUAUGAUGAAAAUACUGUAUAUAAAACCUAUACAAAUACAACGAAAAUAAGCUGCAAUUUAAAAAAUACAGAAAAAAUAAGCAGUUGUGCUUUUUGAAAAGAAACACUACUACUACUUACUACUGUCAGCAGCGCUUUUGAAGCAGCCGCGCUACUGCUAACUAGGUAUAGCAGUAGUGCUGGGAAACAGCGCUACUGCUACAUGUUAGUUGUAGCGCGAUAGCAGUAGCGCUGGUACCAGCGCUACUGCUAUGCAUAUUUCAAGCGCUACUACUAGGGUUUUCCUUAGUAGUGACAGUGGUAUCCCGAGCCCACUAGGGUUCAAGUCCUGGUGCUCGCAUUUAUCUUGGAAUUAUUACAGGAUUUCCGGCGAUAGUCUUGCAGUUGGAGGAGACGUUCCCAUCGACUACGAGGCGCUUACGAAGACUUCAUAAAAUCUCAAGAUGAUAUGCCGACUCGGUUUCUCGAAGAUUCUCAUAUGGGUAGGGAGUGCGUGCGUGCAUUCAUAGGGGUGAGUGUAUGCGUGUAUAUAUGAGUUGUACCGAUGUUAAAAAAACAAUGCGCGACUAAGCGAAUCAACCUGUGGUUGGAUGAUUAGGUGGACAGUGGUAUCCCUAGCCCACCAAUGUUCAAGUCCUGUUGCUCGCAUUUAUCCUGGAUUUAUUUUAGGAUUUUCAGCGAUACAUGUUAGCUGUAGCGCGAUAGCAGUAGCGCUCGCUACAAAAAAAAGACACAUCCGUGACAUUUUGGGCCGAACAAAUUUUUUUUCUGUCAUACAUAUGACACUUCUAUGACGAUAAUUGUGACAAAACCUGGUAUCAUCAUAGAUGUGGUGGGCUCCUACUUCUAUGACAAAAAAUCAUGACAGAAAAUAGGCUUUUCGUCUUGGGCGGGCCGGAGACACAGCAGCCUGACAUUUUUUGGGCCGUCCAUGACGAAAAAAACCGUGGUAGAAGCGAGGGGGAGGAAAAUUUCGGGGAGUUGCCGGUUACGGUGGGAGGUCGGGGGCGGAGCGAUGCGCGUUUCUCUCGUACGUAUGCGUUUGUGUGCGAGGCAUUGGCUCUAACUGAAGCUGAGCGAGGCGUUGGGCUCUAACUGAACUCGAGCGAUUGCACUGCAGGCUAUGCGUUACUGAACCCGAGCGAUCGAUCGAUGGCUGUUAACUGAACCCGAUGGAGCGAUUCCUUCGCUACUACUGCUAACUGAAGCCGAUCGAUGCUGCCUCUGGGAUGAACAGUGAGCGUUGCGAGGGGGGGGGGUUGGAUGAACAGUGAGCGGUGGCGUUGCCUCUGGAUGAACAGGAACCAGUGGUGUGGAGGGCUGGAUGAACAGUAGACAGUGGAGGGGUGGCCGUGGAGGGGUGGUUGAACAGGACCCCAUGGUGUGGAGGGCUGGAUGAACACUAGACGGUGGAGGGGUGCCCGUGGAGGGGUGGUUGAACAUUAGCCGGUGGAGUAGCGCGUGGUGGAGGCUGGAUGAACAGGAGCCCGUGGAGGCUGGAGGAGGUCGACGGUAGCCCGUGGAGGAUGGAGGAGGUCGAUGGUGGAGAUGAACAAUAUCCUGUGGAGUCCCGUUUUGCGGUACGCCACACCCCUCCCCCCUGUUUCGACCAUAGCGCUCCAACACAAGUCCGUUUCGUCCGUUUUGUGGUACGCCACACCCCUCUCGAUCAACAGGACCCCCGUUUCGACUGUAGGAGGUCCGUUUCCUCCGUUUUGCAGUAUGCUAGGCCCCUCCCGAUCAACAGGACCCCGUUUCGACCGUAGGAGGUCCGUUUCCUCCGUUUUGCGGUACGCCAGACCCCCACCCGAUGAAUAGGAUCCCAUUUGAACGUGGCCGGUCGAACACAAGGCCGUUUCCUCCGUUGAUCAGGUACGCCAGGCCUCGUUUCCAUGGCGUGUUCCGUCCAAGCCCUCCCGAUGAACACGACCAUGCAUUCCGUUCCGACCCAGCCAGUUGGCUCCCACGCGUUCCGUUGCCUCCCGAUGAACACGACGCAUUCCGUUGCCUCCCCAUGAACAGGACAAUGACGAUGUUUCUCCGUUCCGACCCAGCCAUGUACGUAUGCGCGAGUAGGCGUUCGAGACCCUGCCCGUAUGUACGUACGUGGCCAUAUUUUCUUUCUUGCACCCUCGCUGCUGUACGUACGUGUACAUGCUACGUGUGCGCCUCUACUACGACACGUGCGCGCCUCUACUACGACACGUGCGCGCCUCUACAUCGACCAGUAUGUACAUACACGUUCGCGACCAGGAUGACAACGCUACGUAUGCUUCGACCAGGUGGGUCCCGACUGUCAGGCACUUCCUUGCCUGCGAAGAUGUAGCUAGUGGGUCCCAGCAGUCAGGGGGGUGAAUCAUUUUUUUUGCCCGGACGCACUUCCUUGCAUGCGAAGGUAUAGCUGCUAGGUCCCAGCAGUCAGGGGGCAAAUUGUUUUUUUUUGCCUGGACGCACUUCCUUGCGUGCGAAGGUGUAGCUGCUGGGUCCCAGCAGUCAGGGGGGCGAAUAUUUUUUUUGCCCGGACGCACUUCCUUGCAUGCGAAGGUGUAGCUGGUGGUCCCCAGCAGUCGGGGGGCGAAUCGUUUUUUUCCGGACGCACUUCCUUGCGUGCGAAGAUGUAGCUGGUGGGUCCCAGCAGUCAGGGGGGCGAAUCGUUUUUUUCGGACGCACUUCCUUGCGUGCGAAGAUGUAGCUCGUGGGUCCCAGUAGUCAAGGGGCGAAUCAUUUUUUCGCAAAAUACGGUGGCCCGUCUGGUGGGUCCGCACUGUCAGGUGGAUGAAUAAUUAUUUUGCGCGUAAUAAGGAGGCACUUCCUUGCGGCUGCCGUGGACCCAGCUGUCAGCCUCUCCACGUACAGUCCACGUCCGAUGCAAGUCGUUCCUUGACCACAUUGACCACGCCGCGCCGAGAGCACCACGGCGGUGGACGACGUCGAGGCCUAGUAAGGGGACGAUGCCGAGCAGGGGAAGACGCGACAGUGGAUGCACACGCGGAGAGGAGUACGAGGGUUCACUGGUUCGGCUGCGCUGCCGUCACCGCAAAAUAACAGGGGGUGUGGGUCAGUGGGUGAGUGGAGGGAUGGCCUGGCCAGCGGUGGGAGUAGUAGGGGGCGGUGAGGCCUCCGCGGUAGCACAGCCGGCCACGGGAGGCAGUAGCAGUCGGCACGACCGGCGCUGCUUUGGGCGGCUGGAGCAAGAAGACCAGAGGUUGAAGAAGCACGAUGGCCGUUGGAUGGACAUCGUACGGUCACUGCAUCUAGAAUCGUUUAUAUUGACUAAGUUGACAAAGCCCUUGGUACGUCAACUUAGUAGGCCCACGGGUCAGCUUCCGAAACGGUGCACCCCAGAUGUCAAUCAUUUUUUGGGCGGGUGAAGCUAGAAUAUCCGAGAUUUAAGAAUAAGCACGACAUCCGUUGGAUGGACAUCCAACGGCCACUGCUGCUAGAACCGUGUGCUGACUAUAAGUUGACAAAGCCUUGCAUACCCGUCAACUCUGUUUUUUAGGGGACGCGUCAACUUAGUAAGGCCAGAAGUGUGUGGCAGAGAACUUAUAGCCCAUUUGAGAUUUGUAAGAAUGUGUAGCCCAUUUUUGAAUUCUAAUGGAAUUUAGUACAACCCAUUUACAGUUUGUUAAAAGUACAACCCAUUUCAACCAACCGUUCAAAACAGAAUUCAAUAAAAUUUCCCACAUUUUGAUGGGAUCCGAAUAUUUUUAUCCCAAAAUUUUAGUCAGAUUAAAUACAAUUUCAAUAUAAAUUUAUAUUGCGUAAAAAUACAACUAAACAUUCCGCUCGCAACAAUUAAUGAAAUUAAAAUUUUCAAUAUUCCAAAAAUAAUAUUUUAUAAAGUAAUCAUUGUUUGGUGCAUUUUUUAUAGUUAUUACCUAGUUUUUAUAAUUACAUCCCAUUUAUUAUUUCUUAAAGCCCAUUUUCUUGUUAAGCCUAAUGCAUCCCUCCUAGGAAAGAUUUGCAGCCCAGCGGGGCGGAGAAUAACAACUUGACCUUGCCUGGGUAUUCCUAAAAAAAGUAUAGCUGGGUUAGCCAUUUUCAGCUUGAAAAAAAUUAAUAUCUGGGCUGGAUAUCUGGCCUGGGCUAGACGGGCCACAACCCACCCAGUUAAUACCUGCAGCGAUGUUUUCGUUGUUGUUCAGAGGAGAAAUUUAAUAUCUGGGGUAAACAUCGAAAAACUCUGCAGUGCUCACACCUCAAAAACACAAAUACUGCUCGAGCUGCUUGGUCCCAGCUGUCGGCCGCUUCUUGUGCAAUUCUCUCGUUUAUUGACUACUCCCUCCUUUCCGGUUUAUAAUGCUCAAUUCAAAAAUCUCACCAAUCAAGGUAGAUGACGAGUGGUGGAAUACUUUUUCUAGUUUUGCAAAAGCACCUAAUUAAUGCUCUUGUUAUCCUCAAAAAAUAUGUUUAUUAAUGCAUUAAUUGCAAUGCAUGCAUGCAUAAAGUACAUGCAUUGGUCAAUUUUCUCUUAAUAUUUGCAUGCAAUGAUUUAAUGCACCUUGGAAUCUGAACAUGUGAUGGAAAACAACCAAAUUGAGCCUUAUAAAAUGGAAAAACUAAAAUUUUGAUAUAAGCCCAUAUAAACUGGAAAGGAGGGAGUACAUAGGUAGACAAUGGUGGGAAACCAAGAGGAAGCAAAAGGAAUUAUAGUUAUAUAUAUAAUAAGGAGGCACUUGCGUACGUGAGGCUAUGGACCUGGUGGGUCCCCAUUGUCAUCCUAUCCAAGUAAAGUGAUCUCCUCGCCCGCGCGCGCUUUCCGCCCGAAACAGUCAGCGCCGGCCGCCUCGCUUCCCGGUGCAGGCUAUUACUCCGCCUUCAAACAACACAAGUGCCGUCCGUCCAUCUGCCGCACACAUUAAUGAUACGCGGUUGCCGAGGCGGCUACUUCGGCGUCACACAUUCGUCCCUCCGCCCGCCCACCAUUGCUAUAUAAACUGCUGCACCGGCCAUAGCCGCAGUCAUCCGCAUCCGUUGCCUUUCUCCUGUCCACACCACUACCUCCCACCAUGGCUUCCUCGCGCUCCAGCGCUCUUCGAGACGGGCGGAUGGCGGACCACAAGGAGAUAGCAGCCAUUGCUGCCGACCGGCUGGCUGGCAGGCAGCCGGACGACGACGAUGUCCCAAUGGAAAACAUGGUAGUCGACGAUCCGGCGUCAACCCCCUCCUCCGCGCCAUCCUCGUCGGUGCAUUGCACCAUGACCAUUGGCGAGGCCCGUGCCCAAUAUAUGGACAGGGUGAGGCAAAUGCGUGAGGAGCAGUUCCGGGAGGCGCAGGCCGACGCCGCCUACAACCACCAUCUCCUCCAGGAGCACCUACAGGCAGAGGAGUAGAUCGCCGUGGAGCGGGCGGAGCAGGAGGUGCUGCUCGACUCGUACCGCUCCGCCCGCAAGGGCCGCCUCGAGCGCUGGCAGUACCGCAUGCGGGUGGCGGAGGCUGCGGCCGCCUACAAAGAGGCUAGCAAAGAGGGCGAUGAAGCAGGCGAGGCGCUGUUUGGCGAGACCGAGGACGAGGCAGAGGACAAUGCCGGCUCUGACGAGUCCCCGCUCCGUUGGCAUCGACGACACCCCGUUGCGCCAACAAUGAGGAAGAGAACACCGCCGGCUCCGCCGAGGCCCCGUGGCGCCAACAACGAGGCAGAGGACACCGCCGGCUCCACCGAGGCCCCGCCCGGCCAACAACAAGGCAGAGGACAUCGCCGGCUCAGCAGAGGCCCCACCCUACCGGCAACGUGGGGGAGGAUUUCCACCGCUCCACUGAGGCGCCGUCCGUCGACAAUGAGAUAGAGGACAUCGUCGGCUCCGCCGAGGCCCCGCCCCACUGCCAACGAGGCCGCGCCACAUAGAAAACGAGGAAGAGUAGAACACGGUAGGUCGCCGCCGCUCGGGUCCAAGUAAGGCCACCGCUGCUACCCUCCGGUUGAAGCCAAGCUAGGCGGGUUGACCAUUGACGGCCAAUUAGCUUCUUGGCAGCGACGUGGAGUCGAAGAGCUGCGCUGGAGAAGAACGCUGCUUCUACUUAACUGCUGGUGCAGUUGGCUGACUGACACGUGGGCCCAACAGGCCACAUGUCAGUGACGCAACUGCACCUGCAGUUAAGUCACUGAAGUUUCUGUUCGGCUCAGCGGGACACAUGUGGGUAGCUUCGGUUAAUUAAUUAUACCUCCAGCGCACCCCUUUUUAGUUUUUUUAGAAAAGGAGGAUGACCCCCAGCCUCUGCAUCUGGGAGAUGCAUGCGGCCACAAACACCCCUUUUUAGUUGAAGAAUGUAUGAAAUGUAAUUAAAUCUGGCAUGUUUAUAUGAAAUCCGACCGUGUAUGAAUGAAUUUAUUUCGAUUAGUUCGAAUUCAUGUAUCACUGGCAUUGGAUGAACAUGCAAAACAAUACGUACUAGCAUUAUUCCCAGGGUGAUCACCUCGUUUGCAACAGUUUCACAUGUACUCCCUCCGGUCCUUUCUAUACAAGUUUUCUCUGCAGUCAAAGUAUCUCUACUUUGACCAAUCUUAUACAAAAAAGUAUUCACUUUCACAAUGUGCGAAGUAAAAAGGAACAGAAGGAGUACAAAGAGUUUGAGCAGCUUUUUAGCAUUUCUGUACAUUGCAAUCAAACACACAGGGCUGGCAAUUCAUAGAGAACAUUCAAAACAAUCGAUGAUUAUGCAUCUCAGCGACUCACAUGUUAGAGGCAAUAUUUACUUCACAACUAAAGAAUAAAGAAAAAAUUGAUCGACGCUGCUGACAGCAAGGGCGUCUCAUUCGAAAAUAUCAAACGCAUGUCUUAAAAUCAAUGAGAAAAAAUUGACAAGGUUGUCCCAUUCCAAAAUAUCAAAUGCCUGCGAUUGUGGAAUGGGCAGGGUUUGCCAUCAGUUCGGACAUUGACAUGGCACCUCGUGCUAAAUAAACCAACUGUUCUUUUUGUGCAGUUCCACCAAAAUCAACCAAAUUCACGCGUAGCUUGUAUGAAUUCGCCCUUAUAUGUUGCAACGCCUUGAACUUAUCGGCACCUCCUUUCUUGUGGUGGAAAUGAAUGAUUCAAUGUAUUCAUGAACAUUUUGUGCAGUUCCCAUUGAAAUCAAGCCGAUCACCCCUGUUUGCACAAAUACAAAAAAGUGAUUAGUAUAAAGCAAAAUGUACUAUGAAUUGACAGUUUAAAUAGGCACCUACAUGGUCCAUGUAGAGCACACUUUUAGAAAAAUGGAACUCACCAGAAAGAAUCCUAGAACAACAUUGUACUCGUGCAUCACAGCAAAAAAAUGGAGAUUUGUCAGUCCUUCUGAGCUGAAGUUAGUUUGGUCUUGUGGGGAGUAAUGUAACCAUCCUUCAACUGCUCCUUCUGAUGAGAAUCCUAGAACAACAUUGUACUCACGCAUCACAGCAAAAAAAUGGAGAUUUGUCAGUCCUUCUGAGCUGAAGUUAGUUUGGCCUUGUGGGGAGUAAUGUAACCAUCCUUCAACUGCUCCUUCUGAUGAGAAGAUACAGUGCUUCUUCAUCAUGGCAUAAUCGAAACUAGUCAUUUCACGUACUCCAUAUUCUUCUUUAGAGGAAGAUGAUCCUAUUGUGCAAAGACAAGAGGACAACUAAAUGCUUGCAUCCCUAUUUGCUCGAAAAAAAGGAAAGGAAAUAUUUAAAACAACACAGAUGAAGCACUUCUCAAGGACAAUACCACUUUUUCAUGAUAGUAUCUAAACAGUAGCACAACGCUAAUAGAGAUGACAAAGCUCAAUCAUAUGGAUGAAUUAGUGGGCGAGUACCAACCUUUGUCAGGAGGCUGAUUGUGUAGAGCAUACAGAUGAAGCACUUCUCCGGAACCAUUUGUUGCUAUCUACUAUGGUGGCCAUGCUUACUAUAUCUUUUUGUGCAGUUCCACUAAAAUAUAUGGUAUCUUCAAAGAAGAUCCCUGUUUGCACAAGUAGAGAUAAUUACGUAUGGCAUCAAAUCAGUGGCAAAACAAUUUCUCGUUCCAGCCAUAGCAAUAAAUUAAGAUGCAAAACUAUAUCAUUACUUGUGUCAUCACAAUUCCAGUGCUUCAUUACAGCAUCGGGAGUUGAUUUUUGUUUUUCUUUUGCUUGUUCUUCCCCUUCAUCACUUGGUUCAAUAACAGACAAGCUUCGCCUUCAAUGUAAGAUUUGGCAUGUCAAUUAGGGAGCACAAGUAUAGUACUAAACUUAAUUUUCUGAUGAAAGUGGCAAAAUACAUGCCAACAGUUGUGAAAUAUCCUUAUCUUACCUCAAUGGGAUAUUACGGUGCACAUACAGAUUGGAAGUCUUGUCUCCAUUUGUGCAGUUCACUAAAAUCAAGCAACAUUAUCGUACAAGUAGCACAACAUAUGAAAGCACACUGCAGAAUCAUGUGAAAGAAGGCUAGUACUGACCUCUCAUGAUGCGGAAUUCAAACAACUCACAAGAAGAAGAUCUGGACCAAAUUCGCCUUAACGGAUAGGAAGUAAGAUCUUCUCUUGUGCAGUUCCACUAAGAUCAAGCAAUCAAGCAACGUUGUUGGUGUGACAUUUUGGUUGAACUGCACAAAAUAGUCUUAAAACAAAAGUGUUUUGUGCAGUGCAACAAAAGGUCACCAUGGCAACGAGGUGAAGUAGAUAACCCUGUUUACACAGAGGUGCAAAGGAAACAAUUAGUGGUCAAUAACGGUGGAUGUCACAGAAGCCAACAAAAAGAAGCAUCUACCUUAUCGAAAUGGGAAACAAAGCAAUACAGUAGCAUUUCUCAAACGGUGGCAUUGAUUAAUAUUAACAUAGAGAUUAUAUUAACAAUAAAAUUCGUUAAACAUGUAAUUUGCUUUUAACUGUGGCAUUGCAUCAUUUUUCCAGCGGCAUUAUUAGAGGGUGUUUGUUUAUAGGGAUAUUUUGGUGUAGGGACUAAAAAAACUCCAUGUCAGUCACAUCUAAACCAAACAAGAGGGACUUUUCGGGACUAAAAGUGGGCAUUUGGGACUAAAGAAAGAAGACCCCGAGGGAGUCUUUUUGGGACUUUUUCCAACAGUUUCCCCUGCCACGCAUCGCACCUUGUUUCUGUUAGUUCAUUACUAGGGGUAACAUGGUCUUUUAUCAUGUCAUUUAAUAACCUCUAGUCCAUGUUUAGUCCCUGGAACCAAGUAGGUAGGGACUAGGGAGUUUUUAACCAAACAGGGCCAUAGAUUAACAACAACUAAUGAGUUGUACAGGACAGUGGACGCACCAGCACCAUGUGCAUCUACCGAUGUACUGUGGUCAUGCACAGUCUGUUGCAACAAAGAACAAACAACCAAGGAGCAUAUUUGUGUUGGUGCCAGUUUUGUUAUCUUUAGACACCUUUCCCUAUGUGAGCACACCAAAUCUAGUCCUGCUCAAACUCUACAGCCUUGUCCCUUCCUUUCCUUUUUGAACUAGUACUUUCGCCCCUUCCUUUCCUCUUUGAACCACGUCCUAGAUUUAUGCGAUACAACUUUCCCCACUACUUUCCCCCAUUCCUUUCCUCUUUGAACCACGUCCUAGAUUCAUGCUAUACAACUUCCCCCCUUCAUUUCCUCUUUGAACCACGUCCUAGAUUCAUGCUAUAUACAACUUUUCCCACUACUUUCCCCCACUCCUUUCCUCUUUGAACCACGUCCUAGAUUCAUGGUAUACAUGCAGCUAGAGCAAUGCAUGUGGAGCAAGUAAAAUAUACCUUAAGGUUCUUGGGGCGUGGUUCGGUGGGCGACGGGACGGCGGCGAAGAAUAAGUGUCGGAGGCCCUCCCGCGCCGCCGCUGGGUGGAAAGUGAACAACAGCGCCGGUAGUGGAUUCCCUCCCUCGCCGACGGCGAUAGCGUUAAGCCUCCUUCCCUUCCCGGGGACGGAUCCUGCCGGCUCUUUGAGCAGCAGUGAGGGGAGAGAGAGGCCAACGAAGUCUUGUUUAGAUCUGGAGAGGGCGAGAGAGUGUGAAGAGAGCAACUACAAGUGCUGAGGAUUCAGUGGGAGAGGGCGAGAGAGUGUGAAGAGAGCAACUACAAGCGCUGAGGCUCCAACGUGUAUAUAUAUACUGGAGAGAGAGUGUGAAGCGUGCAAACCCUAGAAAACAUUUUGACCAGUCAAAGAAUCCUCCUGGCAAAAAUUAUGCUCAAGUUUAGUUAUUGAACCCGAGACCUCAAGUUUGAUGAGCAAACAGGCUAACCAGCUACACAACCCUCCCGUUAUGUUCCACGAGAGGAAAAUAACCUUUUAUACAUUCCUGCAUUCGUGUGAGAGGCAUGCCGUGUUUUUUUUGUGUGUGUAUGGGAGUCAUUAGGAUUUCAAUCAUAAUCGUGUCAUGUGGCUUUGGUGGUAAGACUAUCCAUAGUGGUGUAGAAAUAAUGCAGCCUUAGUCAGCUUACCUCUCUCCAUGUAGUACGUUGGGUCCCACCAGUCAGAGGGUGAAACAAACAAAUUAAUAAGAAAAAUUAAAAGCGCCAGCGGUGUAUCUUACUACCUCACACAUCUCGCUACUGCUCGGGAACACUAUCCAAUUGAUCCCUCUAUUCGCUCACAUGCACACAAAUUUUGGGCACUUGUAUUCAACUUAAGUCAGUGUGCCACUGUAUCUCGUAUACUUACUACUCCCUCUGUCUAGGUGUAAUAAUUCACGUUAGAAGGUGCAACGGGACCAAGGUGCGUGCGUGUGCGUGUGUGUGUUUAACAGCAUGUGUGUGUUAGAGAGUGCGACAGAUUGACCUAGUCCUAUAGAGAUAUGGUGUGUAGUGUACGAUUUUAGCCGCGAGAGUUGGUGCAUCCUCUCAUUUCCGGGCGUGUCCGGUAGGGACAUGCCGACAGCUGCCACGCCUGCUCCUGACUAGCCUGGACCACCCUAAGCCCCUCCACCGCCCGCGCGUGCUUCCUGCCCGAAACGGUCAGCGCCGCUCCAAAGAAUCGGUGCCGCAUUCAUGCCCGGGCAGAGCAGACGUGACCUCUCACUAGCGGAAGAGUGAUGGUUGCUUCGUCCGUCCAACUUACUGCCGGGUCUAUGUGAUUUGACGGCUCAUUGGUCUUUAUUACUGAGGUGGUAGGACUGCUAGAUGUCCCACGCAUUCGGCGAAAGGAGGUAGUAGAUUACAAUUUUCUCCAUUCUUACAGCAGAGGAGUGCAAGAUCAGUGAAAACACGCAGGCUCAGUGAUUACAUGGCCCACCUCACACUAUCACCGUGCAACACCUAACUCUUUACAUAGUACUCCCUCCGUUCCUAAAUAUUACUAGAUGAGUCCCCGCUUGUUGCCACGGAACAGCGGUAUAUCUCUCUGCGCAAAAUUAUCGAUUUCACAGAACUAAAAAAAAUCUAUAACCGCAUGACAAAUGUGGUAGCCAAACUAAAUAAACUCCCAUCAUCAUUUAGAUCAUCCCACAUAAGGAAAAAAGAUUAGCCAACUCCUACUGCAUAAUGGGAUUAUAUUUUUCUUUUUGACAUGUUAAUGGGACUUAAAAGCUCACUUACAUGCAUGCUACCGGUGCAUGCUUGCAUGCAGACAUGUUGAUGUGAUUUAAAACCCACUCACAUGCAAGUGCCACGGUAUUUCUGCAUGCUUGCAUGUGGCUUAGUGCUGAGCCUCUCAACGUCUAGAUCAGACGGCUAUUAUGACUGAUUUACUUCAUCUAACGGCUACGUCAAUUGAUGAUGUGGCUCAAGGAGAGGAUAGAGAAUUCCUAGUAUUGGGGGCUAGCUAUUACUAGUAGAUAAGUCUUUGUAGAGAUUCCACUAGGUGAACUACAUACAGAACAAAAUGAAUGAAUAUACACUUAAAAUGCAUCUAUAUACAUCCGCAUGUGGUUAAUGGUGAAAUCUCUACAAAGACUUAUAUUUAGGAACGGAGGAAGUACUAGUAUAGUACUAGUACGUACUGUAAUUUAUCAGCGAGAUAAAUUUGUACAAUGCUAUGAAGCUUCCAGCUCCUGUUACAUGUAUCUUGCGUCCAAGGUUGCCCAUUGCAACAUUUCAUCAAAUACAAAGGAGACUAACAUGCAUGCUAUUGCAUCUCAAUGAUUGACAGAUCAUAGCAAAUAUGUACUCCCUCCGUUCCAAAAUAAGUGUCUCAACUUUGUGCAAACUUUAGUACAAAGUUGUACUACUACUAAAGUUGACACUUAUUUUGGAACAGAGGCAACUAAAGAAAAAAACGAUCCAUGCAGUCCCUAGCCCUUGAACCGUGAACCCUGACCAGACUUCAAUUUGCUGGCAACAUUUGAGCUUCCUAAUAAAUGAAGUUUGCAACCUUUUGACCAUCGGAUUAUUUUGUGCAGUUUCACCAAAAUCGAGAUGAGCAUCCCUGUGGCAAAGAAAUUGAAGAAGCGUGAUUAGAAUAAGAUUACUAGGACUAGUUGAUGAGACAUAAACUCAUCACAAAUAUAGUACGUAGAAGCCAGUAGAGGUAUCAGGUAUGUGCGGGGCAAAGAAGUAGAGAAAUAUCCACAAGGAGUGAUGUGGGCAGCUGGAGCAGUGGUGCAAGCCGGCUGUAAAGGGAGUUGUACCUGAGGGACGUAGCUCGACCUUGAGGAGGGUGGCGGGAGGCGGCAACUGCCCACGUCACGGCAGUGAGCAAGGGACGAAGGCAACCUCACCGGCUUUGUGAGAGAGAACGGCGGGGACCACUGAUCGGGACGUGCCGACAGUGGGUUUUCGCCGUCGCCGACGGACACCGCAUCUACACUAAGCAUCCACCCCUUCCCCAAGCGGACGUGAUCCGCCAGGAUGUUAGAGAUGUGGCCAUAGUCGUUUUGUGCGAGAGAGUGUGAAGAGAGCAACCCCAGCAAGCAACCGUGUAGGCUGGCCCGUCCUGACUAUGUAUAUAGUGGAGCGGUUUCCUUUUCUCUCCAUAUGAACCUAUCAUAUUGCGUACGUGCCACUGAAGAAAAAAAAUUAUUUAUAAAUGACGCGGCACCUACUACUCGUUCUCCUAUAACCUUGCGCUUGGCAUCUCCAAAAUAUUAACCUUGCGAUUGGCUCUUCGCCUCAUCGGGAAGUCGAGCAAUAAUGGUAGUGCAGUAUAUAUCGUUCUGGCUAUAUGAGACCGAAUGAAUUGCUGCACGUCCACCACGUGGGCGAGGGUCGAGGGGCGAGGGAGAGUGCUACUACAUACGGAGCAAAAUGAGUGAAUGUACACUCUAAAAUACAUCUAUAUACAUCAGUGUUUGGAGUAUGUACUAGUAGUUCAUAUUGAAAUCUACUAAGGACAUAUAUAUUCCAAACAAUAUGAUAUAAUCUCUAUAACCAAGGUAGUAGGGACGAGUAGUAAACGGAGGGAGUAGUAAAAUUUUCUCCACAUCCUGUGAGCCACCACGCACAUGGGCGAGGGAGGAGCAAGCUUCACCUCAUCCUGCGAGCCACCGCGCCCGUGGGCGGGGGAGACGGCGUACUAAGCAAGCUUCUCCUCGUUCUGCGAGUUGACAUGACACAUCAAAAGUACUCCAGUGUAUAGAGCCUUGCCUCUAAGGUAGGCCCCACAUGGUUUGCCUCUUUUUUUAAUUUAACAUAACGCGUCAAGUCACAAUUUGUUUGUUCACCCGUGGUAGACGAUCCUCCCUCCACCAAGUGGACAACCAGUACAUGUGCCAAAUUACCACGUGGGCUGCCUUUUUCAUACAGAAAUGAGCUCCACCGUGUACCCGCGCGGGUGUGGUUGGGAAAGAGACGGGAGUACGUGCGCCGUGCAUGCACCUCUUCUCUUCGUGCACGUCCCCCACCUACGUCGGUGCGUGUGAGAGAUACAAAACGCGUUCGGGAGUGUUUUUUGUUUUGUGGUGGAGGUGGGGGUGGGGUGGGGGUUGAUUUCGUGAAUUAUUUGUGGGAAUAUGUGUCGAUGACAUCUCAAACAAAAUUUUGCAUGCAAUGUGUGUGAAAUGGAGGCCUAUCCAUAUCAUACAUAGCGGGUCGGGCAAUCCACGAGAAGAGAGGGAGGGGUCAUAGCUAUCGAUAGAGUCGAAGAGAGGAUCAAGUACGGGUGGGUGCGAGAUCGAUGAAGGGAGCCAUCGAAAUUGCGUGUGUGUCUGUGUGCAAGUCAAAGAUAUAGGGCGACUGGCCUACCGGAAUGUUAGAGGGCACAUGUCAAGUUUGUGUGUGGCAGGGAGACAUGACUAGAGCGCUUGAUGUAUCAGUGUGUAUGGGGGUAGGGGGUGGGGGGAGGGGUAGGCAGAGGCCUAACUAUAGAGGUAGAACGACUCGUAUAUGUGUUGAGAGGGAGAGACACAGCUAUGUCAUGAGGGAGAUCGGUCGACAUCCAUACAUAACUGAAGGACGGGAAAUAUGAUGGGACAGAGAGAGAGAGAGAGAGGAGAGAGAGAGGGAGGGAGAGGGAGGGAGAGGGGUAGAGUGCUGGAUGGGUGAUGGAGUUGCUUCUUGGAGAUGUUGGGAGAGGCCUACUAGACAAACUGAGGGUGGAACUGCAAUGUUAUCAAUAAGAGUGGGGAUGUGUUUUUGUGUGUGGCUGUGCAUGAUAGAUCUAUCGGGACGCAUCCAUGGAUGAUGAAGGUGAACCAUGUGUUUGGUAAGCAAAGCUAACUAGAUCGGUAGAUCAAUUGUUGUUUGUCGGAGGAAGGGAGAGACACAACUAAUGAGGUAGAUCGAUCAAUGUGUGGGUAAAAACGAGUUAUAAGGACCUAGUUGGCUAUAUGUAUAGCGAGAGAUCGAUCGGUGUACGUCCAUUUGUUAGAGGCAAAUAAGGCCCAGUGAGACGGAUAGACAGAGAGAAUGGAGCUAGGAGGUGGUGCGAGAGGCCCAACUACUAGCUGGAUAGGGGGAGGAGUGUGCGGUUGUGAGAUCGAUUAAAAGAGGGGUGAGAGUUUACACAUGUGUCUGACCAUAUGAGAGACACGAGGCAAGGACACAUAAAGGAGGAGAUUGAAGGUGUGUGUGUAUGCUGUAGGCAGGCAUCGCUGGAGAGGUUUAUCGAUCAGUGUGUGUCGGAAAGGAGUUGUGGAGACUCUGCGAGAAUGACCUAAAGGAAAAAAUGAAUGUGCUCGGUGGAUAGAAUGCCGAGGGAGGGGGAGGGCGAGGAGGGCGUGUGCAUGCACGAGAGAAAGUAGUGGUAGCUACAAAGGUUAGAGGACUGUGUGGGUGUAAGAGACUAACAAAGAUAAUAAUUUGAUAUGAAAGCAGAUUCAUAUAUUUGAAUAGGAGAUCAUAGUGUUUUAAACAUUGCAUGCAUGAAUAUAGUGGUGAUACACGUGUUGUGCACAUGUUAUACCAUAAUGUGAUAAUGCAUGGCAUUUGCAACUCACAGCUAAAUGCCGAACAAUCUAAACCAUACUAUACAUCAAACAAUCUCACAUUUUAUUUGAAUUUGUGAUAAUGUGCGGCGUUUGCAGCUUACAACUAAAUAUCGAGCAAUCUAAACAAUACUAUAUAUCGAACAUUCUCACAUUUUAUUUGAAUUUGUGGUAAUGUGUGGUAUUUGCAACUCACAUCUAAAUACUUGUAGGCGUAGGGGGCGGGGCACCAUACAUAACGUGAUAAACACAUUAUACAUAUGAGACAGGGUUUAGAUUAUGAAGAUCUAGCUAGAGCUAGAAAUAUAAUGUGAUUUGAAAUCAAAAUAAAGUGGAUUCAGAAAAUCUAGUUCGAGUUCAUAUAGUACACAUAGUUCAUAUGUAACUCGAUACUGAUCAUGUGGUGUGCUGUGAAGAUAAUACACAAACGAUGGUUUAACUUGACAAUAAUGAUGAUUGUAGAUCUUAUUAAAACAGAGAAACAAAUUCAAAUGCUUUGACUUCACAACAAUCAUUACUGUAGAUCUUAUUCAAAUUUAGUUCAUAUUGAAGCGGUAGUAUAUACGUUUGGAAUGCACUAAAACGUUCACUUGAGUAGUAGCUUGCAUGCAUUAUACACGUAGCGAAAUAUUUUAAUUGAACAUAACAUGAAUUCAAAGUUUUAAAUGACAUUUGUAGUGCGCAUUGAUUUGGUACAGUACACGUUAGGCUUGUCCGGAAAUUUCAACCCGUGCCUUGUUAGCCCGAAAUAUUUAAGAUAUAUCUUUGUCUCGUUGUGCUCCGACAACUCCCUCCAUCUCAACCGCGCCUUGCUAUUCCGAAAUUACAAUGCGCGCGAGAACUCCCACCUCCUGUGAAAUCCCGACACGUGAAAUGCCCGUGGUACCCCUGAACCGAAAGAACCGCCUCAAAUGAGUGGGGGAUACUUUCGUAACUUACUCCACAUUUCGGACAAGCGCGUCUCUAAGCCAUGGUUCCCCACUGUCAUCCCAUCUGCCCACCCAUUCGUACACCGAGGCUGUGAAAACCCGCGACGAAACCCCACACCUUCCUCCGUCCGCCACCCAGCCGGAGCUUCUUCCCCGACGACGUCGUCCACAGCAACACCUCGACGUCCCUCAUCCACCGUACCGGAUGAGGAUCCGUCGUCGAUCUCAUAGUCUAGCCGGUUCAGCCACCCCGUCCUCCACCUCCAAGGAGCUGCCCCGAUGUUCCCCUCAUCUUUCGCGCCACCUCCAUUCCCACACCGCCGUCUUCACCUGCACCACCGGAAGAGCAUCAUCAUCACCGUUUCCUCGGAUGAAGCUGCGGCCUAAUCAGUGCCACCUAAGAGGUUGUACACUAAUCGCUGCAUUUUCUUCUUGAUUUGAUCUCACGGUGCUGCCGGCGUUCGGUCCCGAGCCGACACAGCGCAACUCCAUCCACGGCGGCGUCGCCGGCCACUUCCUCCGCGACGUCGCUCCCUCGGCGGCGAUGUCCACAUCAGUAGGAGCUGAUGUUGCUUUAGCUCUCGCUCGCGCUACUGCUCUGCUCUUGCUCUCGGUCCCCUGCCUGGUCUGCUCUUGCUAUUGCUCUUGCUCGCGCUGCUGCUCUCGCUCUUGCUCUUGCUUGCGAUGCUGCUCCGAUUUGGCUACACUUUAGUCGACUGAAUCGACUUUUGGGUCAGUCGAUUUCCAAGGGGUGGGCUCGCCUGGGUGAAGGAAGAACUAGCCGCAGCAGGGAGGGGAGCUCGCCGGAGAGGUACCCCACUAUCUAUCUUAGGGUUCAGGAUGGGGGCGGCGUCGCCGGCGGUGGCAGGGCGUUGGCGGGGCGGUGGCGUGGGGAUCGCCGGAGAAAAAGCUUGGCACGGGGGGCCUAGAGGGAUGGCCGGGGCGGCGGCGGACCGGCGGUGGGGAGUGUUUUCGGGGCGGGCGGGGCGGCGCACCGCCGGCCGCGGGCGGCGGGGGGCUGCUGUUUGGCCGGUGGUGGCUGGCGGCUCAGGAGGGGUGGAGGUUGAAGAUGAACCGCAUGCCCAUGAUUUCGUAUCCAACGGCUGCAAAAUCGACUGACCAGAGAUGAAAAAAUUCAUUCGACCGACCUGUAGCCUCACCUUGCUAGUGCGUUCAGUUUCGACAGCAAAAUUUAGUUUCGGCAACAAAAUUCAGUUUCGACCGCAAAAUUCAGUUUCGACAGUUAGGUUCAGUUUCGACAGUUAAGUUCAGUUUCGACAGUUAAGUCCAGAGAUGAGCGGAUGAUGUAUUUUACAUCUAGCACUUUUUGGUUAUGUAUUUUACAUCAUGUAUUGGAGAUGCUAUUAGAAUUCCACUCAGGUUAACGUUGUUCGUUGUCUCUCUUGUCCUGCUUCAGCCUCGGCGUCGUACAACUCACCGGAGCUGCUCCAACGACGAAACCCUCCAUCACAGCGGAGCAGUACCUCGGGCUCCAUCUCCAGACGCCUAAGAUCUUCUUCCCCUCCUCCGACAGCAAAGUCAGCCGGAGCAUCCUCACCGGCUAACCCAAUCACGCUGAGAUCGACAUGGCUUAGCCAAAGAGGUUGUACACUUGUUGCAUCUCUUUUUUACUGUACAUGUUAUAUAUAUUGUCCACUGAGCACACGGAUUUGUUCCUUUAGUGUCUCCUUGAAAGAAAAAACGUAGGAAUUUUAAUUUUCACUUGUCCUCCUUUUCAAAUUCCUAUUCAUGAAGCACAAGACUAAGAGAUAGUAGCAUAUUAACAUUAUAACCGUACAUUUUCUUGUGGUUUGACUUAAUCUCACCAUGCUUCUUUGCAUCUUGUGAUCUUCCAAUUGUUGUGAAUCAAACACCCAGAUUGGCAGAAAUCCUGUGUUUUUAAAUUCCCUGUUUUGCACGUGCAUUCCUAUCAUAUUCCUGUCUAUUUCCUAUCCCUGCAUUGUUGGAAUCCUCCAAUUCAAACGAGCCCUUACAGAAUUACUUCUCUUACAGAUAGUUGUCAAAGAAAACCUUGCAUGGUUUGUCCCGGUCCUGCUGCGCCGUCGUCCAACCCAACUCAGCUGCUCCAACGAUAGAAGGGUCCAGCAGAGCAGGGAUCCGGCCUCCAGACUGUCUUUCGCCGCCUCAGAUCUUCUUCCCCGCCGCUGGCAGCCAUGAAAACUGCAUUACCAUCAUCAACCGAGUAGAUGACCUCAAGGACUACACGGGUCCGCAAGAGAGGCCACACUCUUUCGUGUCUGCUUAUGUUAUGCAUCGCUUAAUAUUACAUGCUACUUUAUCGUCCUGUUCACAGAUUAGACUCUGAGUUAGCUCCAAACUAAUGGUCAAACUUGAGUUUUUAAAUGGUUGUGGGGUACAUAUCGGGGCCGCUAUCAAUAGUAUCUAUCUACUAUCUGGUUAAUCUCCGGUGUCUACUAUGAGUUUCAUGUUGGGUGGAAAACAAACAGUAAAAAAGCCAUUAUCUGUAUUUAUUAACUGAACCAUUAUCUGCCUGCUAUUAUUGGUUUUGGGUCUAUCCACAGGUUGCUACCAUCACUCUGGAUUUCUGCAUGCACUCCUUACAUAAUCUCGCUAUGUUUUAUUCCUAUGCAUGACAGUUAUUGUAAACAAUGGAACUGAACAUGUAGAGCAAAAGAGACGAGCCUUGCGUGGCAAUAUAAUUUCAUGCAGACGUCGCUCCAUGGUAGGCACAAAGGCAGCCCCCCUCCACGCAUUUCGGAUUGUAAUCGAGAGGAAGAUAUCUGUUCUGUGGGGGAUUCAGAAGGAGAAGAUAACUCCUAUUUACCCCCUGAGGUCUUCGCUGUAACUUGGCAUGAUGAUGUUGGUUAUAUCAUGCAUAUGGUAUCUUGCAUUGCUUACUUUAUACAUCAAAUAUGUCAUCUGCUUAGUUUAGACAUCCUUUGUGCGAAUGCCAUCUGUUUAGUUUAUUCAUCGUUUAUGUGAAUUAUGCAAUGCCACCUUGUUUAGCCAGACAUCAUAUAUGUGAAUUUUGCAAUGCCAUCCUGCUUAGCCAGUCAUCUUAUAUGUAAAUUAUAUCAGGCCAUCUUUUUUUUUCGUUACAUAUUACAUUCGUCAACAAUGUUAGUACAUUCAACUGCUCUUUGUGUGCAUCAGCCAUUUGACAUGGUGAUGGCAAAUUCUGGAGUGAAAACAAGGUCUUCUGAACAGACUAUGCUAUCUGACGAAGCGCAUAUCUCGCUGGUUACGGAUAGCUCCUCAGAGGAGGAUUCAGAGACAAAUGACUAGUCCUAUCCCCCCCCCCCGAGGUGUAUGCUCUAACUUGGCAGGGUUAUGGUGUCUCACAUUGCUAUGCCAUUUGAUUAGUUUAGACAUGCUUUGUGUGAAUGCCACCUGUUCAGUGUCUAACUACCAUAUAUGUGAAUUAUGCAUUGCCAUCUUGUUGCAAGACAUUAUAUAUGUGAACUAUACAAUGCUAUCUUGUUGCAAAGGCAUUAUAUAUGUGAAUUACGCAAUGCCAUGCUGCAGUGGCGGAGCUACAACCAAAUAGUUGGGCGGGCCAACGUAAAAGAGAACACAAAAAAAAUCACAACUUAAGCCAUACUACUUGGAUGCUACUAGGUAUAUUAAUCUAUGCUCACUAUAAACCAGACUAGGCUGUAACAGGAACAAGUCCCUCCUGCAUAUUCAUGAGGAAAAGUCAGCCUCUCAUACGCGUUCAGGCUGCUGACGCAUGACGCCUCACACUCACCGGGCAUAGUAAUUUACCUUUUGGCUUUUGGGUAGGGCGGGCCACAGCACGCUUUUGCCUGCACGUAGCUCCGCAGGUGCCAUGUUGUUUAGCCAAUCAUCAUGUAUGUGAAUUAUAUCAUGCUAUCAUUUUUUUGUAUUACGUGUUCCAUUUGUCGACAACAUUUUUAUAUUCAACUACUCUUCCUGUGCAUCAGCCAUUUGAAGCGGUGAUGGAAGUAUCCGGAGUGAAAACAAGGUAUUCAGAGCAGACAAUGCUACUUGCUGAAGCAAACAUCUUGCUGGCUACAGAGAGUUCCUCAGAGGAGGAUUCAGAGACUGAUGACCAGUCCUAUUUCCCCCCUGAGGUCUAUGCUCAAACUUGGCAGGGUUAUAUUACCCAUGUCAUGCAUGUUGUCUUGCAUUGCUUAGUUUUUACAUCAUAUAUAGAUUUCCAUCUGCUUACUUGCUUACUAUAUAAAUCAUAUAUUUGAAUUAUAUCAUGCCAGCAUGUUUACAUAGUACAUACACAUCAUCUAUCUGAAUUAUGGCAUGGCAACCCAUUUAAUAAAUACAUCAUAUAGUUAUAUCAUCUCAUCAUGUUUAGUGUUUACAGUCAUCAUAUUUAGAACUAUGGCAUUCUAUCCAUGAAUGUAUGUGAAUUAUGGCAUGCCAACCUAUUUAAUAAACACAUUAUAUAGUUAUGUCAUGUCAUCCUGUUUACAUAGUCUCAUAUUUUGAACUAUGUCUUUCCAUCUUUUUUAGUUAGCCAUCAUAAUGUGAAAUUGUGUCAUGCUAUCCUGUUUAGUUAGCCAUCAUAUAUGUGAAAUUGUGUCAUGCUAUCCUGUUUGGUUAGACAACAUAAAUAUGAAUUAUUUCAUGCCCUGUUUUAUUCCCCACUAUCCAUUGCACCUGUCUAUCAUACAAUGUCUAUACUUUCAAUUACUUUUCUUGUUUAUCAGCCAUUUGAAUUGGAGAGCGUGAUGGCAGUAUCUAAGGGAGUAACAACACGGUCUUCAGAAAAGAUAGUGCUACCAGUUGACGCAGAUAGAACCAUGGUUGUACUUGCCCAAGGACCAGAUCCACCACACAUAACCCAGACUCUCGCAGAUUGUACCCCUACCCAGUUGGACAAAGAACCAGCUACACCCCUUUUAACCCCAAUCCCGGUAGAUAGUAAUCCAGUUCCAGUUGACACAGCACCGUCUCCACCACAGAGCACCCAAACACGAGUGGUUAGUAAGCGAACUGCAGUGCCCAAAGCACGAGGACCACCAGUCCGAAUCCCAACUCAACGCUUAAAGGAGAAGAAGAUUUGUUCUCAGGUCAGGUUCUGUAGCUAUGGUUCAUACUCCUUUGCUCUUGCAUUACUGUAUUUACUCAUACCAACUAUUUUCAAAUUUGAAGGAUGGAAUUGAAACUCCAAUGGCGCAACAGGUAUGUUUUAAACCUGUUUCUUUAACUGGUUUGUUGUUGUAACCUGCUCUAUGUUGAUUUCAGUUUCAAUUGAUUAAACAGUUAUGUUCUCAUGUCAUGCACAUUACAAGUGUUGUUAUUGCUCUAUAGUUACCCACACUUAUAUUCUAUCUAUUCUGCUUUGUCUUGAACAAAUAUUAUUUGAACUGUGUCUCUAUCUUGAUUUGGUAACAAAAACUAGAAUGAUAUAGACCAUAAAGUGACCAUGGCACAUAGAUAUAUGUUUGUUUCAUGCUGUUAUCCUGUCCACUUUACUACUGAACUCAUUUACCAAAAUGAGUUUCAUAUACAACAUGGUAAACAUGUGAUGUGUCUGCUUGUUUCUCUUUUAGAAUGCAGACAAAAUAUUGGAGAACAGUACCGCGUUAUCCAAUGGUAAAGGAAGUAAUGCAGAUAAGGUUCAAGAUAGUGAGACAUCCAUGUUGGUCUACAAGAAAGCUGAUAAAAACUAUCUUGAUGACAGCGAGGGAACCCAAAAGUCCUGUCUUGAUGUAGUGUUCGAGUUACUUGCCACUACUGCUGGCACAAGCUCUUCGAACUCGCUGCCUGAAUCAGUUCGUCUUCUUGAGUCUCAACUUCAAGUUGAAAGACAUCGAUCAGAUGUGCUGCGACAGGAAGCUGAAAGACUGAGGAAGUCCCUGCAGAAUUCAGAUGCAUAUUUUCUGGUGCAACAGCACGCGCUGGAGGAUUUAAGCGCCAAACAAGAGAAAGUUAAUAAGCUUGCUAAGCAUCUUGCCAGCAUUAUGGGUACCCAAGAUAUUGUUUCUUGAGAUCUUCUGAAGUGGUUUCAGUUCUGGAUUUGUUUUGCUACGACGUUUAUUUGCGCUGGUCGCCAACUUUGACAACCAGUGUAUAUGAUAUGCUGCUUUAUUCCCUACAUUUACACUGGUGGCGAACUUUGAUGCCCAGUGGAUGUAAUAUGUGUAACAACCGUGAUAGCCUAGCAUACGUUGCUUGCUUAUUUAUUUCCUUGUUGUCUUGUUUAUUUAUUUGCUUGUAGUCAGUGUGGUUCUUUUUAAAACUAGGCCACAUAACCAUGGGCUAAUAUUUACUGUAGUGACACUGGGCCUCCUACGGGCCGUAGAAACAGUGGGCCUUCUACGGGCCAUAGAAACAGUAGGCCUUCUACGGGCCGUAGAAACAAUGGGCCUUCUAUGGGCCGUAGAAACAAUGGGCCUUCUACGGGCCGUAGAAACAAUGGACCUUCUACGGGCCGUAUCAUCAAUGGGCCUUAUACGGGCCGUAUGACCAUAACGGGCCGUCGUUAAUAGGCCGUAUUUGAUGAUGCUAUGAAAACGGCCCAACGUAUUAACGGACCACAAACGGGCUGAUGUAACCACGGGCUGAAUUUGGCCCACAAGCAGAAAAUGACAGUAACGAGUCGUAAGUAAAUGAAUGAUGGAAAUGAGCCCAAGAAUAAAUGGGCUCUCAGAAGGCCGAAAGAUAACAUUUGCUGGAAACGGCCCAACUGAAUAACGGGCCCUUAAUAGGUAUAAAGUGAUAUACUGUUCAUUAUGGGCCAGUUUCACCACGGGCCGUUAGUGGGUGUAAAGUGAUACACUGUUCAUUGCGGGCCAGUUUCACCACAGGCCGUUAAUAGGCCAAGAGUUACAUAGGGCCUCAUAUGGGCCGAAAGACGUCAUGGGCCAUACAUGGGCCAGAAGUGAAAACGGGCUGGAAUCAUAUUGGAUGGCCCAGAUGAUGCUACUGGGCCUAAUUCAGAUAGGGCGUAACGGGCCUUGGGUUAGCGGGCUGUAAAUGGGCUAUAUGCGAACAGGCCGUUAACAGGCUUUCCAUGGGCCGGCCUGCCACCUUUUGACCAAGUCAAACGGGCCGGCCUUUUCACAGGAAUGGGCCUCUGUUGGGCCGUGCCACGUGUCGAUGUAUCAUAGGCGGCUUCUGUCCAAUGAGUGGAUGGCAUCUGUCCCAACGGUGAGCCGACACGUGUUUCCUCCAGCCAAUGAUGAUUUUACACGUGGAAAAUCCCCAUUGGUCGGGGCUGUUAACGGGUUAUCGGAUCCAAAACCCAACCCGAUAGCUUAACGGCGUUCUGUUACGGUGGAUGCCACGUGUCGGUCACCCUUGACGAAAGUAGUUCUGUGACGUGCGAUUUAUCGUCAUGGAAGUGGACACUUCCGUGAUGAUAAUUUUGAUAAUGUCAUCGAACACUUCUACGACAGUACAGGUAUGACUAUCUUGAUUCUGUCAUAAAUUUGUCAUGGAUGCACAUGCAUGACAAAAAACGCGACCUACUGUGACCAACACGUAUCAUCACGGAAGUGAAUUUUUUUUGUAGUGGCUGGUACCAGCGCUACUGCUAUGCAUAUUUCAAGCGCUACUACUAGGGUUUUCCUUAGUAGUGACAGUGGUAUCGCCAGCCCACUAGGGUUCAAGUCCUAGUGCUCGCAUUUAUCUUGGAUUUAUUACAGGAUUUCCGGCGAUAGUCUUUCAGUGGGAGGAGACGUUCUCGUCGACUACGAGGCGCUUAUCUUGGAUUUUUUACAGGAUUUCCGGCGAUAGUCUUUCAGUGGGAGGAGACGUUCCCGUCGACUACGAGGCACUUACGAAGACUUCGUAAAAUCUCAAGAUGAUAUGCCGACUCGGUCUGUCAAAGAUACUCAUAUGGGUAGGGGGUGCGUGUUUGCAUUCAUACGGGUGAGUGUAUGCGUGUAUAUAUGAGUUGUACCGAUGUUAAAAAAAACAAUGCACGACUAAGCGAAUCAACCUGUGGUUGGAUGAUUAGGUGGACAGUGGUAUCCCUAGCCCACCAAUGUUCAAGUCCUGUUGCUCGCAUUUAUCCUGGAUUUAUUUUAGGAUUUUCAGCGAUACACGUUCAGUGGGAGGAGACGUUCCCGUCGACUACGAGGUGCCUAUGGUGACUUCAUAAAAUCUCAAGAUGAUAUGCCGACUCAGUCUCUCAGAGGUGCUCAUAGGAAUAGGGUGCGUGUGCGCGCGUUCAUAGUGGUGAGGGUAGGCGCGUAUAUAUAAGUGCUUGUGUCUUUAAGAAAAAGGAGGAUAGACCCCUGCCUCUGUAUCGGAACGAUGGAUGCGGCCAUCUUAUUAAUUAUUCACAGAGGCCAUACGAAGUAAUACAUCAGUCAGCCUGAAGCCACCAUCUAGGCAACGCCUGUUGCUACUCCUAUCCCAUUGAUGAAGGUGUGCCGAAUAUCAGGGCCUAUUACAACAUCACACCAAACCCUAACAUCUAAAGCUAGAUGCCCCAACCCAACCACACAUCGGGACUGGGUCCCAUACUGGACCGACGCACUCUUAGAGGCUGCCGCCGCCAUCUUCCAUCGAUCCAUCUCCAGAGCAGAAACUGACCCAUCGACCUUGUCUGGCUUGCCGUCGACGCCACCACGGCGCCAGGCAACUCCACCAUCCUGCACGUAUCCGAACACACGCACCCGUCGCCGAACCUUCGCAACACCAUGCCACCAGGAUCCACCGUCGGCCUUGCGGUGGAUGAGACACCGCUCUUCCGCUUGUCCCGACCAACUAGCACUUGCUCCAAAACGAUGCCCUCAGGAGGAACAACGACAACAAAGGUACCAUCAUCGUCCGAUCCGGUAGAUCGAGAUCUAUGGUUUCCUCUGGAGCAUCAGAGUGGGUUGCCACGACUUGCAACAAUGAUGGCUCGAGAAAGGAACGACAUCAUAGAUGCCGCCAUCGUCCGUCAUGACCGAAGUCGGUGCGAUUUUCACCGGAAGUCGCAUCCCCCCAACCUCGCAGCUGGCUGGAACCGAAUGGAUCCUCGCUGUGGAGAUGAGGGCCGCCGUUGGCACGCCGGUAGGGAGCCUCCAGCCGCCCCUCACCGGUCCUCCUCGCGCCACCGGCCGGCCAAGGCCGUAUGGAGACGGAUCUGGUCAGGACGCCAGAUCCGCAGCCAUCGGAGCCACCCAUGAGCCCGCGGCCGCCACACCGCCAACCAUGUAGGUUCCCAUCGCCACCGCGCAGCAGAGACGCUACCCGACUGCCGCCCCAGCCUCCCCACGUGAGACGCGGCCUCCGCCUCAUAGGAUCUGCCGCAACGACCACCCGCCUUGGAUCUGCGGUGCAGGGCCUGCCGCCACCGCGACCCUUCAAAUGCUCACUUCCACGGACGUUUUACACCGACACAACGCAGCAUACACCGUUUGUCGUAUCAGUACAGUUUCUAAGCUACCAGGAAAUAGAGCCCUAGGAGCGAUCUUGUGUUUUUUUCGUGAUGGCCCAGCACACCAGCUCCCCUGCCCAUACAAAGUACUCAACCGACUUCCCUAAAAAAAAUGUACGCAACCGACAUUAAGAGUCUGGUCAAACUCCUCACCCCGCAUGUCUUUCUGCUUUGUGUUUCAAGAGAGAGAGGAGGGGCGAUUUGGGGGACAAGGUCGACCACCGGUGCUUGCAACUUGGGUGAGGGUUAAGUUGGGCGAGGUGGUUGCUGGAGACAAUGAUAAAGGAAAUAUGCCUAGAGACAAUAAUAAAGUUAUUAUUUUAUAUUUCUUUAUUCAUGAUAAAUGUUUAUUAUUAAUGCAAGAAUUGUAUUAACCGAAAACUUGAUACAUGUGUGAAUACAUAGACAAAAUACCAUGUCCCUAGUCGGAAUUCAAGCUGAAAUUUAUUCAGUUGUAUCGGAUUUCAGAAUCACGAGAAACCGGCACUGUUCAAGUACUAUGCAAUAGCCACUUGAAAUGCUCCACGUGUUGUGAUACAGAUUUUCUGGCCCCGUACCUGGUGGCACGUUGUGGCGUUUCGCCGUCGAUCCGCGUGGCAUGGCAUGUCGGCACAGCCAGCCAGCCAGCAGCCCAGCACCACCACAACUUGUGUAAUUAAAGCCUCCUCCCGUCCUUCCUUCCCCGCGACAGAGCAACGCGGCCCCCAACCAAACCUCCUGACCAGCAGAGCAAGAGAGAGGGAGGGAGAGAGAGAUCUCCCGAUGGCGUCCCGGAGCUGCACCUUCGUGGAGAUCCUGCUCGCCGUCAUCCUGCCGCCGCUCGGCGUCUUCCUCCGCUACGGCUGCUGUAGCGUAAGCAAUCCAUCCCCUUCCUCUCCGCGAGGCGAUCCAUGCUGGAUCCUGAUAUAUUAGCAAACUAAUAAUAGUGUUUAUUGGUCUUUCUUUCUGUCUGCCUUGAACAGAUGGAGUUCUUGAUCUGCCUGCUGCUCACCAUCCUGGGCUACAUCCCCGGCAUCAUCUACGCCGUCUACGUGCUCGUCGCGCAUGGCUCUGCCUCGGAGGAGAGCGGCAGGGACUACGACGCCCUUGGUUGAUAUCGUGUAGCACCUCAUGCCGUGCGAAUCAACGUCCUGUGUGUGUGUGUGUGUGUGUGUUUCCAUCUGCUGCACUGUGUGGCGUGCCUUCUUUCUAUAUCAGUCUGUAAAUGCUGCUUAAACCGUGCUCCGGUUUCCCCGGCCGUCCUGUGAUUCUCAUACAACCGAAUAAAUUUCAGCUCUGAAGAUUUUGCCCACUGGUUUACGCCAGUCGGUGAGCAGGUUUGU
rnacentral:lncRNA from 1 species